rnacentral:lncRNA from 1 species
GAGUUUUUGCAGAUUUUCAAAUAAAACUCAGAGAUUCCUUGUAUGAUUCUCUCAGGUCUCUCUUUUGUGGUAUUUUUGGAUCCUUACCAAGGCAGUGAUGGUAUAUGCCUUCUCUCAAAAUAUGUAGUAUUUGUGGUAUGAGGCAUAGUGACAUUGCCUUCUCUCUCACCCUACUCUAAUAAGGCUUUAAUAUCUGGAGUUCAUAGGUGGGAGAUAAAGUAUACAUACUUAUAAGACAUUUAUUGCAUAGUCAAACCAUGGAUCCAAAGAAACAAAUCAAUAAGCCAAAUCAAGAUGUGCAUGUGUGGCGAAUGAAUGAUGUAUGGUGAUGAUGGCGAUAACAAUGGUGGAAACAAUGGUGGUGGAAGUCUAAUUCUACUUUGCUCUUUGAGGGGAUACAUACCUUCCUUGCUUUUGAAACUUUAUGAGGAGAAUGAGAUGCUCUUCUUUUUCUUUUCUCUUAGGUGGGUAUAUUGUACCCCUAAUUCUACUGUCGGACACUUGUCCAUUUUUACUUCUCGUCUCACCUUUUCUUUUCUUUCGAGGUUCCGAGCACUUGCUCCUUUUUAUUUCCUCGUAUCUCUCUCUUUUUUUUCAGAGCAUUCAUCUCUUGAGAUAAUAUAGCAAGUGGUAGUAACAAGAUAACUUGAGCAUUUAUUUCACAAGGGGAAAAUAGAAAUAUUUUUGGUUAUUCUCUCCCGGAUUAGGAGCAGAAUAUUUUUGGGUGAUUCUGGAGAUGGAAUGGGUGGAUAUAUGUGGAUGGUACUUCCGGAGUAGAAGUAGCAUAUAUGAGUGAACGUGCAAGUGAAAUCUUGAUUUAACCACAUGACAAGUUCCAAAGGGUCUACACAGCUUGACCACACUCAAUGCUCAUAAGCAGUAACUAAUAAAUGUGUGGCUCAAAGUCUAACAAGCAUGUAUAUAUGGUUGUGGUAGGAAUUUAAACUCUCAUCAUAAAGGAACUCAUCAUGCAACAUUUUAAAGAUUUUCAAAGAUAAAAUUCUCCAGAAUUCUAGCAUCUCUCGGAACAGAUAAACAACAGCUCAACCUUCCCAUAUCGUAUCCGUUAACAACUUAGACUUCAGAUCAAAUAUUCAUCCCACAAGUUUAGGUCUAGAGCAAGCUUUAAAUUAUAACAGUUAUAUCUAAACUUGAGAGAGAACUUAAAAUUUGCAAAUUAGGCAGAGCAACUAUUCAUCAUAUCCAUGCUUAAGUUUUAUUUAGAUACAGAUUAGCAUAGCCACUUUAUUUAUUUAUUAAACACACUAAGCAAAAGACAAAUAUAUAUAGAAGCAUGAAAUCUUUAUUUGGUUUUCCAUAGUUUAUGUGUAUUUUAAUAUUCUAAAAUAAUAUAAGUAUAAAGAUAGAUAGAAAUACUUAUCGAGAUAAAUGGGGGUGCUCUCCCCCAAGCUGAAUUUUGACGUAAUUUCUCUUGAUGUAGCUAGCAGGUGGCAGAGGUGUAUUUGAAAGUCAGCAGCAUUCUGACAGCGAUUAGAAUGUCCUCCGUCUGCUAGUCUUCUUGAUUCUUAAAUUCUCUUGGCAGGGCGUUCGGUGUUUUUAAGUCCUCCGAACGGGACUCUCCAUUUUCUUAAUUGUCCUGAGGUUCGUUGGGUGGCGAAGUCGGUACUUCCGGCAGCGCCUCCUCUUCAUGUAUAGUUAUCUUCAUUUUCCACACCUGAAUCGGUGCUUCAAUCUCCUCUAGAUAAUUCUAUUUAAACUCUACGUCUUCUGACCUUACAACUUCUCCUUCAUAGUCUGCCCAUCCAUCCUUGAUGAUCUGCCUCCUCUGGUUGCGGUUGCGUCUUUUCCUUACCUGCUUAGAUUCUUCAAUGAUAUAGUUAGGGUCAGUAAAGUAACGGUGUACCUUCUCUGAGGGGAAGUGCAUAUGGACUUCUCCGGUUCCAAUGUAGAUAAUUGCUUUAACAGUGCUGAGGAACGGUCUUCCAAGGAUGAUGGGUGGAUCAUACUCAUCUUCUCCCAUGUCAACAACUUGAAAGUCUGUGUAGACAAAGUGAUCGUCUAUUUUGACUGGGACAUCAGAUACUAUUCCUUUGACUUCUCGAAAUGUCUGAUCUGCCAUCUGAAGCUGAAUGUAUGUUGGUCUUAGUGGCAUGGUUCCGAACAAGAGCCGAUAGGUGACUGCGGCCAUUAUGUUGACGCCUGAUCCGGUGUCGCAAAUCGUCUUGUAGAAGUUGUAUCCAUUUAUGGAGCAGUAAAUGCUUGGCAUUCCUGGGUCGUCCUUCUUGGUCAAAAACGGUGACUUAAGUUGAUGAUCUUGACCUCCAUGAACUACUGUGACCAUCUUAGCUGACUCGGUCCACACUUGCUUGUUCCUGUUUCUCCUGUUGGUCCUCCUCCCUGAUUUACGUCUGGAUUGAUCUGGAAUUUGUGUAGUCUUGUUCUUGAAGAAAAAUGUCUCCUUCUUCCCUUUGUCAUAGAAACUGAUCUUGGCAGCACUGGCGUAGAUGAUAGCUCCCGUGGUGUUCAAAAAUGGCCUUCCUAGGAUGAUAGGUGCUCUCUCAUCAUUUCCGGUCUCUACCACUACGAAGUCUGCUGGGGCAUAUAAGGUACCAACUCGGACACAAUGGUUCCUCACUAUUCCUUUUGGAAAAGUUAUCGUCUGAUCUGCAAACUGCAAACACAUAGUUGUUUCUAAUAAAGGAUAUGUAAAGAAUUUUUCAUAGAGUACCCUGGGUAUAAUGUUGACACUGAAGCCAAAGUCGCAGAGUGCUUCUAGAACGUCCACCAUGCCGAUGGAGAUCGGGAUGAUGGGGCGUCCUGGAUCGCCUCUCUUGACCGGCAGAUGGUUAGUAGAGAAUUCAUUGACGGGGUUACUCCAAUUACCUGCAUCAAACAUGUCUACAAGAUUUGCAGAUUCUAAUCCUUCCGGUUGUGAUGGUAUACCGGGGUUAGUAGUAGGAACAGCAGCAACUAUUUGAUUUAACUGGGAUUCAAUCAUUUUAUUAAAGCUAAUUUGAUUCUUGAUGGCAGUAGAGAAAUUAUCCAUUCUAUUAUUUAUAUUUUCUAGCAUUUUAUCAUUAGAUGCCAAUUUCUUAGAUAGAUUAUCCAUUAGCUUUCCUUGAUUAGACAUAACUCUCUCAAAGGUGGAAAAUUAUUAGUAUUGUUAUAAGAAUUGUUACCUUGAUUUUGUUGAGGACGGUUGUAGUAGUAGUAGUUGUUGUUGUUGAUGUAGUUCACAUCCUCAAGUAUCUCAGGGCAGUGGUUGCCUAAGUGUCCAGUGUCUCCACACUCCUCGCAAGUCAUGUGAGAGUCGUAGAUGUGCAUAACUUCUUUCUUGUCUCCAGCUCUAUCGUCGAGCUUCUUCAUGAGCAGGUCUAGCUUUGCAGACAGCAUGUCUACCUCCUUCAGCUGAUGCAUACCUCCACCUCUCUUGCGUGUCUGGGUCCUCUCUUCAUUCCAGCUUUGAUUGGAUGCCAUCUUCUCCACAAGAGCUGUGGCUUGUGGUAUAGUAAGUGAUUAGAAUGCUCCUCCAGCUGCAGCAUCCAUGGUCUCUCGGGCACUGUUGCCGAGCCCAUGAUAAAAUGUCUGCAUCAAUAGCCAACUCUCCAUUGCAUGAUGGGGACAUUCUAGGAUGUAGUCUUGAAAGCGCUCCCAUGCUUCUGGAACAGAUUCAUCAUUUUGUUGCUGAAAACUUGUAAUCUUCCCACGGAGAGCAUUGGUCUUGCCCAUGGGAAAGAACUUUGCCAGGAAGUUUGUUGAGCAGAGUGCCCACAUAGUAUUCUUCUCCUUUGUAGCGUAAAACCACUGCUUCGCUCAUCCUAACAGUGAGAAUGGGAAGAGGCGAAGUAGUAUAGCGUCUUUGGAAACUCCUGCUAUGGUGAAUGUGUUGCAAAUCUCUAGGAAGUGUUGUAAAUGAGCACUAGCAUCUUCGUGUGCCUUCCCACAGAACUAGUUGGAUUGCACCAUGUUGAUAAGUCCAGGCUUGAGCUCAAAGUUGCCAUCGAUCUCUGCAGCAGGUCCAGUGCGGAUGUUGUCCGUAGUGGGAGCUGAGAACUCGCGGAUCGAUUUGUUCGCCAUGGCUUCGAACUCUGAAGACAAGUUCCGGUGAUCUUCUUGAUUGGAUGAAGCUUCUUGCUGAAGUGUUGAUGAUUUCUUUAGCUUGGCUCUAGUCUUCUUGAAUAAUGCUUCAGGAUCGUCAACAAAAUUCCCUGGAAGAUGUCUUCUAUUCAUACAUUCCCCUGCAAAAGACAAAAUAGAAAAAUAUCGGGGUAAAACUGUAUGAGAGAAUAGAUAAGCUCAAUCAUAUUAGUGAUGCGAAUGAUAACUCAAAAUCUUUUAUUCCAUUCCUGAUUAGUAAUCAACCUUCCCCGGCAACGGCGCCAAAAAUGCUUGUUGGGUAUUCUUAACAUCAUUACCAAAAGUAGACUAAGUUCUAAAUCUAGCAACGGUGCCAAAAAUACCAAACCUAUCCCUCACAACACUUAAGCCAAGUUGUCAUCCCCAGCAUGACAUGAGAGACGCGGUAUUGAAAUAUGUAAUUGCUCUUCUAAAUAAAUAAUGAAUGGGAUCUGCAAGCGCACAGAUUAAUACCGAUGCAGCAUUUUAACCGGGAAGUAUUCCAGGUAUCGUUAUUUAUAUUUUUACCACUGGGAAGGGAUUAGAAAUCAUCACUAAUGAUUACAGAAUAGAAUAUGAGAUUGAGCAUCUAUCAUUGCAUGUAUAAUUGAGAACAUUAUAUCUAACUCAUCAUACAGGGAUAAGUGUCACAUAAAAGAUAUAUGAAAUAAUAAUAGUGACAAGGAUAACUAAUCUGAUCUAGCCACAUAAUAAAUAUGAUAAGCACCUCAAUUAGAUACUCUAGAAAGUCAUUAGCAUGGUAUUAGAACGAACUACAAGAAUAUUCCCUAAGUUAUUCUUAACUAUAUAUUCUAGCAUAUCAUAGUUAGUGCAAGCAUACUUAGCAAUCAUUGCAAGACAAGACUACGCCCAUGCAUAGUGAUAUUAGCAAGGAAUAUGAGAAACAUAGCAAUCACACCCCUGUAAUAAUGUUGCUCUGCUAGCCCAAAACACGAGAGGGGGACUAUAUAAGAAUCAAUGAAACUGUCACUAUCACGAACCACCACACGAUCUGGCAUAUUGGGUACAAUCGCAGAUAAAUACGGUAUAAGCACCACGCCUACACAAUAUCUAUCAUUUACCCAUGGAUCUGAUGGAUAAACGCUAUACGAUCCUAAGCAUGUAUAUAGAUCGAAUCUAACUAAGCCAAGUACAUAACUAUGAUAAACUAAGAACAAUAUAAUCUUGAAUAUAAGCAAGUAGAGCAAAGUCAUAAGCAAUAUAUUGAAGUAGAACAAAGUCAUAUUCAUAAUAUUGAAGAACAAAGAUAAUUAGAAAGCAAUUAGAAGCACAAUUAGAGAAUUACCAAGAAUCCUCCUGACAGAUCCAGAAACCAAUCGAAGAUUGACUCCUUCUAGUUCUAAUCCUAUGUAGCUAUGCUAAUCUAGAUAUCUAAUUGAUGUGGUGGCUCUAAUCUUGAUUAGAGGCUUCUUCUCCCUUGAUGGAACAAUGAAUUAGGGUUGAGAGGCUCUCUCCUCCAGGGGCCAGGGGGUCUGGUUUUAUAGUCCCUCCAAGUGAAUAUGGGCCCUUGGAUCAAACCGACAUAGAUUGUAUGGUUUAGAUUCAUCCUUUAGGUCGGUGGAGAUCUCCCGCAAAGCAGAGUCCUGAUUGGACACAGGAGGUGGGCGGGCGCCCAGGGCAGGAUGGCGGGCGCCCUGCCUCUGGCCCCGUUUCGCCUCCGCUUCGGUCUCGUGGCUUCUGGAGUCUUCUAGAUGUAAGAUAAUUGCGCGGCACGUUAAUAUCUCUAUGUAAUCCCGACGUGUGGGCCUUUCUUCCAUAUUUCCUGAUAACCCCCUGCAGAAAUAGACAAACACCAAAACUCGUGGAAUUCUAUCAGAUAAAACCCUAAGUCUAGAUCUUGAUUUCAUUUGGAUCCUUUUCUUUAUUUAUUUGAUAAUUAAAUUUGAUACUUAAGGACCGUCAACAACAAAGGUCAUACUGGAAAGCUACACAUUUCUUUUGGAAAAACUUUUAAAUUCCCAAUAAUAAUUUCACACUCCUUAAACAAUAAGGCCGAGUCAUAUCUUUUGCCUGAUCCUAUGGAGGAGGUAAAGGCUGCAUCUCUUGAGCUUUUAGAAGAAUCAGACUUAGAAGACGAAACUCCUUUCUUCACAGAAGAAGAAGACGAACCUUCUGAGCCUGAACCUUUAGAUGAGUUUGCAGAAACACCUAGACCCCCCAUAGAGAUUAAAACUUUACCACCCGGUCUUACCUAUGCUUUCCUAAACAAUAAUCCAGAGUUCCCUGUGAUCAUUAGCGACAAACUCACUCAGGAUCAAACUCUGCGAUUAAUGACCAUUCUUGAGAAACAUCACUCAGUUUUUGGCUACUCACUCCAAGAUCUUACAGGAAUCAGUCCUAUGAUUUGUACCCAUCGUAUUCCAACAGAUCCUUCUGUUACACCCUCUCGAGAACCCCAACAUAGACUUAACAACACUAUGAGAGAGGUAGUUAAAAAGGAAGUUAUAAAGUUGCUGCAUGCAGGGAUUAUAUAUCCUGUGCCACACAGUGAGUGGGUGAGCCCAGUCCAAGUUGUGCCUAAAAAGGGAGGCAUGACUGUUAUUAUGAAUGAAAAGAACGAGCUAAUUCCGCAACGCACCGUCACAGGAUGGCGGAUGUGCAUAGACUAUAGAAAACUAAACAAAGCCACGAGAAAGGAUCACUUUCCUUUGCCUUUUAUAGAUGAGAUGCUAGAGCGGUUAGCAAACCAUUCGUUCUUCUGUUUCUUAGAUGGAUAUUCAGGGUAUCAUCAAAUCCCGAUCCAUCCUGAUGAUCAAAGCAAAACCACUUUUACAUGCCCUUAUGGAACUUAUGCUUACCGUAGAAUGUCUUUUGGGUUAUGUAAUGCACCAGCUUCUUUUCAAAGAUGCAUGAUGUCUAUAUUUUCUGAAAUGAUUGAAGAGAUUAUGAAAGUUUUCAUGGAUGAUUUCUCUGUUUAUGGAAAAACUUUUGAUAGUUGUCUUGAAAACUUAGAUAAGGUUUUGCAAAGAUGUGAAGAAAAGCACUUAAUCCUUAAUUGGGAAAAAUGUCAUUUUAUGGUUAGGGAAGGAAUAGUGCUGGGACACUUAGUGUCUGAAAGGGGAAUUGAGGUAGACAAAGCUAAAAUUGAAGUAAUUGAACAACUACCUCCACCUGUGAAUAUAAAAGGAAUUCAAAGCUUUCUUGGCCAUGCUGGUUUUUAACGUAGAUUCAUAAAAGAUUUUUAAUUUAUUGCUAGACCACUUACUCUUUUGCUAGCCAAGGAUGCUCCUUUCGAAUUUAAUGAUGCAUGUCUAACAUCUUUCAAUUUAUUAAAGAAAGCACUCAUCUCUGCACCAAUCAUUCAACCCCCUGAUUGGUCGUUGCCUUUUGAAAUUAUGUGUGAUGCUAGUGAUUAUGCUGUGGGGGCAGUAUUGGGACAAACUAAAGAUAAGAAGCAUCAUGCAAUUGCUUAUGCCAGUAAAACUUUGACAGGAGCUCAACUUAACUAUGCAACCACUGAAAAAGAGCUUCUGGCUGUUGUCUUUGCCAUUGAUAAAUUUAGAUCUUAUUUAGUUUGAGCUAAAAUAAUUGUUUACACUGAUCAUGCUGCAUUAAAAUAUUUGCUCACUAAAAAAGAUGCUAAACCUCGCCUGAUUAGAUGGAUUUUAUUACUCCAAGAAUUUGACUUAGAAAUAAAAGAUAAAAAAGGAGUAGAAAAUUCUGUUGCUGAUCACUUGUCUAGAAUGUAUUUUAAGAGUCCACAGGAAACCCCCAUCAAUGAUUCACUUCGGGACGACAUGCUCUACGGGAUUAACAGGUCUGACCCCUGGUAUGCAGAUAUUGUUAAUUUUAUGGUUUCAGGGUAUGUACCACCAGGAGCAAACAAGAAGAAGCUUAUUCAAGAAAGUUGUUCACAUAUAUGGGAUGAGCCAUACCUCUUCCGAGUACGCUCUGAUGGCUUACUCAGGAGAUGUGUGACCACUGAGGAAGGAUGGAAGAUCAUCGACAGAUGUCAUUCGUCACCAUAUGGAGGUCACUAUGGAGCAUUCCGUACACAUUCAAAAAUCUGGCAGUGUGGAUUCUAUUGGCCUACAAUGUAUGAAGACACAAGGCAAUAUAUCAGAAGAUGUGGGCCAUGUCAAAGACACAGAAACAUAAAUACAAGGGAUGCAAUGCCACUCACCAACAACCUUCAGAUUGAGCUCUUUGAUGUCUGGCGAAUAGACUACAUGGGUCCAUUUCCUCCAUCAAAGAAGUGUGAGUACAUCUUGGUGGCAGUUGACUAUGUCUCCAAGUGGGUAGAAGCAUUACCUUGCAAGCAUGCCGACAACGUCAGUUCAAAGAGGAUGUUCGAAGAAAUUAUAUUUCCAAGAUUUGGAGUCCCCAGAGUAGUGAUAAGUGAUGGAGGAGCACACUUCAUCGACAAAGGCUUCAAGCAAUAUCUAUCGAGACAUGGAAUCCGUCACAACGUCGCUACCCCCUAUCAUCCUCAGACAAGUGGCCAAGCAGAGACUUCCAACAAACAAAUCAAGAAUAUUCUUCAGAAGACAGUAAAUGAAAUGGGAACGGCAUGGAAAGACAAGUUACCCGAUGCACUCUGGGCAUACCGGACAGCAUACAAGACCCCAAUUGGAAUGUCUCCAUACCAAUUGGUGUACGGGAAGACUUGCCAUCUACCUGUUGAACUAGAAUUCAAAGCACACAGGGUCAUAAAGAGAUGGAAUAUGGACCAAGAUGUUGCUGGAGAUUAUAGAAGAAUGCAACUAUCAGAAUUGGAAGAAUGGCGAGAGAAGGCACAUCACAAUUCAAAGAUCUACAAAGAAAGAGUCAAGAGGUGGCAUGACAAGAGAAUCAAGAAGAAGGAGUUCACACCCGGAGAUAAGGUAUUACUUUUUAAUUCCAGGGUGAAGCUUUUCGGGCAUGGAAAACUCCGGAGCAAAUGGGAAGGACCAUUCAAGGUAAUCAAUUCAACAUCCCACGGAGCUAUCACACUUCAAAAUAGUGAAGGUACGUUAUUCAAGGUAAAUGGUCAACGUCUUAAAUUAUUUUUAGAGCCCAAUGAGGAAUUUGAAGAAAUAGACGUAGUCCAUUUUUACCUUCCCAUGGAGAAUUAGAGCCCGACACUUUUGGUCUGAUGGUUUUGGGUCAUAUAUAUAUUUUUCUUAAUAAUUCCGCAUCUAGAAACGCGCUCGGAGAAGUGGGCCCACAGAGGGGCCAGAAAGAGGGCGGGCGCCCAGCUCAGGUGGGCGGGCGCCCGGCUCCUGUUCCCCCUCGGUCCCGACUUUCUCUGUUAUGGAAAAUGCACUUAGGGUGAUCCGAAUAAUCCCUCGGAUGGAAAGUUUCGCACACACGUCGACGGGAGCAAGCCGAACAACCCAUAGAGGCACCCUUUUGACCCCUAUAUAAACAGACCCCUGACCUCAGUUUUCAAACACCAAGCCACCAAGCUUUCUCUCCUUUAAUUAGAGCUUGAUUAGCUCUCCUUCAAUUAGAGCUUGAUUAGCUCUCCUUCAAUUAAAAUUUGAUUUGUUCCAAUGGCCGAGAAGUACCACGAUGAUUGGGAAGUUGUCCCCUUCAACCUCAACAUGGAGCCUGUGGAGGACCCCGAUGCCCGUGCUCUCGUCCCGGCCAACACAGAGCGUCAGCUAGAAGCCAUGCCAUUACGCCAACGCAGCUCCGCCCAAUCUUACCAUGCUCAACCAGUUCUCACCGCACCGCCACAACCCCUACUCCUCACAGGAUCAUCAUCCAAGACGAAGGCCACUAUCAAGGUGCCAAUCGGCACAAGGAUCCUUCCACCAAGACCCAAUGAGAGGGUCGUUGGAGUCAAGACCAACCGGAGCGGCGAGAUCAGCAGUGUUCGCUACACUACGGAGGAGGAAAGGCCUUACUUUGAAGGGAUUAGAGCAUCCAAAGUCCGUUUCAUCCCUCCAAAGGCAGCCCCGAAGCACGCUCUCAAUGCUUUUGAGACACCUCCCAAACGUCGCAAGACUAUAAUGGAUAUUGAUGAGGAAGUUCGUAGGCUAGAUAGAGUUAUCAUAGAUCUCCAGUCCUCGAUUAAUUCCCUCACUGGGCAGCUCUCUAACCACAACACCAUUAUACUAGGCCUUAGGCAGGAUCUUGCCAGUGCCAACAAGAAGAUCAAAGAAUUAGAGCGCCGCUAAGUUAUCUAGAUUAGACCUUGAGGCAAUGCAUCUUAGUCAUCUAUCUUUAAAUUCAGUUUAAGUUUGCUAUUAUCAGUUUACUAUCAGUUUGCUAUCAGUCUUUUGUAAUAAAUGCCUCAAGAUCAAUAAAGAUUAUUAUUAUUAUUAUUAUGUCUUGUGUGUCUCUACUUUAUUUUUGUGCAAGAAAGCAGAAAACAAGUAUGGGGGAGAUCCCUCAACAUGCCAAACACACUCCGACUGCACCACUCCAUGAUUUAGGUACACACUCUGCACACUUUACACAUACAUUUAUUUUGGAUUAUGCAGAUUACUGUUUCCGACAUGAUAAAAUAAAAAGAUUAAAAUAUUUCUAAUCAUGAUUAAUCUCAAUCUGUGAUAUUUCGUGAAAACUUGCAAUUAUUAUAAAAUUAUUUUAAAACCCUGUGUUACUUAAGUCAAUAUGGAAUAUGUGAUGGUAGAGUAUGAGUUUCUUAUUCUUGAUAUCAUUGUUACUUGGAGAAUUUAUUUCAAAAUAUUCAAAAUUCUAGCUACCAUCCUCAGUGUUUUAUAUGCCUGAUAAAACUGAAAAUAUUAAUUAUGAUUAUAAAAGCUAUUUGCUCUGUAUUGAGUUUGUUCAAAAUGAGUUAGACCCUUGUUGAGAGAUUUAUCAUGCUCCCAAGAUCAAGACAUUUAUUUCAGUAAGAUUCACUCUUCCGAAGUAUUAUUGCAUUAGAGGCAUGGGCUAUGCAAAAAUAGAGAUAUUUCGAGGAAAUAUAAAAGAGCAAGUGCUCGACAACCUCGCAGAAUAAAUGGACAAGUGUCCGGCAGUAGAAUUAGGGGUACCUCAGUAUCCACUUAAAAAAAAGAGAAAAGAGAAAAAAAAAUGAUAGCCCAUGGUCCCUCUAAUAAGCAAUAUGCCAGCAAGAGUUGACAAAGAUUUUAAUUUCCAAAGUCUUUGAUCUAAGAGUAUGACAUUCCCCUCCUCGGAUCCUGUUUUAAUCAGGCAAUAAAUGCAAAGUAAGAAUGCUUUAGAAUUUUUGCAAAAAUAAAACAGCCUCAGUGAGAUAUAUAUAUAAAAGAUAAUGAGUGAUUUGAGAGAACCUGUGAGGAUCAAAAGGUAUGCUAACUUUCUUUCAAAAAUAUACAAAAACUCCAAGUGAUAGGAUUGAGAAGAAAGGAUCUUUACUCUUGAUCAUAAACUUCCCUGACUAUGGUACACAGUGGAUUUGUAACACCCUGCAAUUAUAUAGAGAAUGCUUUAAAAUGUUUACCCUAGAUAUUUUUCUUAACCAUCCUUUUCUCGAGGACGAGUAAAAGCCUAAGUAUGGGGGUAUUUGUUGACGGUUCUUAAGUAUCAAUUUUAAUUAUCAAAUAAACAAGAGAAAGGACCAAUAUGCAACCAACACCUAGAAUUAGGGUUUGAUCUGACAGAAUUCCACGAGUUUUGUUGUUUAUCUGUUUCUGUAGGGGGUUAUCAGGAAAUAAGGAAGAAAGGCCCACAUGUCGGGAUUACAUAGAGAUAUCAACACACCGUGCAAUUUUCUACCAUCUAGAAUAUUCCAGAAGCCACGAGACCGAAGCGGAGGCGAAACGGGGCCAGGCCCAGGGCGCCCGCCCUGGUGACCUGGGCGCCCGCCCCCCUCUGGAGCCAGAUCAGGACUCUCUUCGCUCGGGAUACUCCACCGACCUAUUGGAUCAAGAAAAACAUAGUACCACCUCGCCUAUCGACCCAAAAACGCAUAGAAGGGGAGGACUAUAUAAGGAGACCCCUGGCCCCUGGAGAAGACAUGAAGAAAUUAUCGUAGAGACUGAGGGGUGCCCUCGAAGGAAAACCUCUUCUCUAAUUAAUAUUUCUUUUUAGGCUUAGCAACCAAUGUAAGGUAGAAAUAGAUCUUCUAGUUUCUACUAGAUUGAGAGAGAUCGAGUGGAGGUGUAGAGUGGAGGAAGCCCGGCCUGUCGGUGUAUACUCCAAGCUUGUACCUGCGGGAUCAAGUUCUCCUAACCCGAAGCUUGCUCCUAGGAUUCUUCAGUAAUUCGACUUCUAAAUUUUAGUCAGGAAUAGAAUUUCAAAUCAUAGAUUUUGGAUCAUUAAUGUAUAUGGACCUGCAAAUCAUGAAUUUUCAGUUAGCUUCAUUCAGGAGUUGGGUUGUUUUUGCUCUAAUAUUGAUCUGCCUAUCUUAUUGGGGGGAGACUUCAAUCUGAUUAGGAAUAACAGGGAGAGAAAUCAGGGUGCUGGGGACCAAAGAUUAAUGGACCUCUUCAAUGAUUUUAUUGGGAGUUUUCAACUGAGAGAAAUUUUUUGUUCUGGUAAUCGUUUUACUUGGUCCAACAAACAAAAAAACCCAACAUUAGUGAAGUUAGAUAGGGUUCUCUCGACUACCAGCUGGGAAAAUUUUUACCCCACUUGCUUUGCAUGGACUAAGACAAGAAUAGGUUCAGAUCAUUGCCCUAUUAUUCUCAAUACUGGGGAACAAGGGGAGUCCAGACCUCGCUAUUUUUAUUUUGAUGAGCAAUGGUUGCAGAGGGAGGGUUUCUCUAACAUGGUUCGGGAAAGGUGGGAUUUUUUUAACACUGGGCAAGACUACUCCUUGGAUAGGUGGCAUGGUUGCCUCCAGUCCAUGAGGAAAUACCUAAGGGGUUGGAAUUUACAGUUGAUUGGGAUUCAGAAAAGGGAAAAAGAAGCCAUGAUCCAAAGAAUUAAAGAUUUGGAUCACAUUGCUGAAUUCAGGCUUUUGACCUCCCAGGAAUGGGAGGAAAGAAUUGAAGUAGAGGAUAAUCUGGAGAGAUCAAAUAGAUCUGAGGAAAUCUACUGGAAACAGAGGGCAGGGAAUAAGUGGUUGUUAGAAGGGGAUGCUAACACACACUUCUUCCAUCAAUUUGCCAAUGGUAGAAGGAGGAAAAAUAUGAUCUCUUUCCUUGACUCUGAGGCUGGAGAGAUUAGGGGUCAGAAGGAGAUUACUGACCACAUUGUUGAGUUUUAUAAAACUCUUUUUGGUCCCAGUGGAGAUUGUGAUAUUGAUUUAAGAGGUACCUUUUGGCCUUUGGAUAUGAAACUUAGGGAUUCAGAAAAGGAGGACCUCAUUAAGUCAUUUGGGGAGGAAGAAGUCAAGGGAGUCGUGAUGGAGAUGAAGACCAAUGCAGCUCCAGGGCCUAAUGGGUUUAGUGUUACCUUCUUCCAAAAUUUUUGGGACACGAUUAAAAAAGAUAUGCUUGACAUGUUUUCUGACUUUUGGGGAAAUCGUCUUGAUAUAAAGAGAUUGAAUUUUGGAGUUAUCACUCUUAUUCCUAAAGUACAUGAAGCUAAUAGUAUUAAACAAUACAGACCUAUUUGUCUCCUGAAUGUGGAUUAUAAAUGCUUUACGAAAGUCCUGACUAAUCGAUUAAGUAGGGUGGCUCAGAGGGUGAUUGGAGAGAACCAAUCUGGUUUUGUUAGAGGGAGAAAUAUUUUGGAGGGUGUGGUGGUCCUACAUGAGGUAAUCCACGAGCUUUAUACUUCAAAAUAGAAAGGGCUAAUCCUAAAAAUUGACUUUGAAAAGGCCUAUGAUCGUGUGAGAUGGGAUUUUCUAGAAACAGUUAUGAUUAGGAGAGAAUUUCCUUCUCAGUGGGUUAACUGGGUUAUGAGCACAGUGAGAGGUGGUCAGGUUUGUAUCAAUGUGAAUGGAGAAAGGAGUGCUUAUUUUAAAACCUUCAGAGGUUUACGACAGGGGGAUCCUUUGUCUCCUUUGCUGUUCAAUCUUGUUGCAGAUGUUUUGGGGGUGUUUCUCAGGAAAGCUGUUGACAAGGGACACUUCAAAGGGGUUUUGAACCAUCUCUUGCCAGGGGGGAUUUCACAUAUCCAAUAUGCGGAUGACACGGUUAUAAUGACUGAUGGGUCUGACCAGUCUAUUCGGAAUCUUAAACUGAUCCUUUAUUGCUUUGAGUGGCUUACGGGGCUUAAGAUUAAUUAUCAUAAGAGUGAAGUCUAUGUCUUUGGGGUUCACCAAGAGGAGAGAGAACGUUUAGCUAACAUGUUGAACUGUGUGUUGGGAGAGUUGCCUAUGAAGUAUCUAGGCAUUCCUAUUAGCCACAAACAUUUGAACAUUAAGGCUUUCUCAUUCUUAGUCCAAAAAUUGAUCAAGAGACUGGACCCUUGGAAGGGUAAACACCUGACUUCUGGGGGGAGACAAAUCCUUACUAAUUCUUGCCUUAGCAGUAUCCCCUUAUACUGCAUGGGGUUUUACUGGUUACAGGAUGGGGUGCAUAAAAACAUGGAUAGUAUCAGGGCUAACUUUUUAUGGCAAGGGGCCGAAGACAAGUUCAGAUAUCACAUGGCUAAAUGGGAUAUGGUUUCCAGGCCUAAAGAUUUGGGGGUUUGGGAAUUAUUAAUACUAGAUUGAUGAAUGAUUGUUUGCUAGUUAAAUGGAUUUGGAAGAUCUUGCAAGAGCCUGAUGCUUUGUGGUUUAAACUCCUAAAAGCUAAAUACAUGGUAGGGGUUAAUUUCUUUUCUUCCAAAAACAAAGGGUGUUCCCAGUUUUGGCAAGGUUUGCAUAAAAUUAAGCAUCAGUUUAAAUGGGGGGCAACCUUUAAAGUGGGUAAUGGUAGGAACUGUCUGUUCUGGCAAGAUUGCUGGCUGAGGGAGGUUCCUCUUAAGAUUCAGUAUGAUGAUCUUUUCAGAAUGGUGAGAGAUCCUUACAGCACUGUUUCUGAUUGUUGGGUUGAUCAGGAUUGGUUUAUAGACUUCCAUAGAGCUCUUUCUUCUGAGGAGUUCGAGAGAUGGAAAGGGCUUUAUGAUGAGUUGCAACAUAUUUCGAUAAGUGACAAUCCUGAUGGUGUGUUCUGGGCUCUGGACAAAUCUAAAUCAUUCACAACCAAAUCCCUUUAUAGAUUCCUGUCCAACAGAGGCAUGCCUAGUAGGGUAGCUGGCAUAAUCUGGAAGUGCAAAAUCCCGUUAAAAAUAAAAUUUUUCCUUUGGCAACUUUUCAAUAACAAAUUGCAGGUUGGCCUUUCUUUGAUCAAACGUGGUUGGAAAGGGGAUGGUAGAUGUUGUGUUUGUAAUGUUUUUGAGAGUGUUAAUCACCUCUUCUUUGAUUGUCCCUUGGCAAGAAUGAUUUGGGCAAUCUUACGAGAGGCGUUUGACUUGGAAUCAGUGCCUAGAUCUUUAAACGAGCUGUUCGAAAAUUGGUUACAUGGCAAGGGGCCUUUACCUUCUCGGCUUAUCAUGUUUGUGUUUGCCGGUUUUGCCUGGACACUUUGGGUGACUAGAAAUAAGAUGGCUAUUGAAAAAGUGUUCCCUAAUAUGCCAUCUGAUGUAGUGUAUGGUGCUUUAUCCUUGUUACAGAAGUGGAUGAUUAUGCUUAAGGAAGACGAUAGAGGGAGGAUGUCUCAAGUGAAGGACAAGGUGAUUUGUUGGAUGCGAAGCUUCAAGACGAACAUGACGAUGCCAACUGAUGUUCAUGAGAUUUGAGUAGAGAAUCCAAACUGUUUUCAGAUUCUCUUUGUAUCUUUUUGCGCUUUGUUUGUCACUGGUUACCCCAGUAUGUACCCAAACUAUGUGCUUUCUUAAAAGCAGAGGUUUCCCCUCUUUAAAAAAAAAGUAAGUUCGUGUUUUAUUGUUCUUAUGGUUUAUGAGUUUACUUUAAUCUCUUCGCAUAGAGUUUAGAGUAAUCAUUGCUGGCGUAAACGUGGUGUUUAGGCUAGGGUACUCAUAGAUAUUCCCUGACUAGCUGGACCGUGGUAGUAGUGAGGAACGUGACAAUUCCGAGCUACCUUUGUAGAUCACAUCUCGUUAGCAGGAAGGAUAGGGUUUAUAGGUGCGGGUUGAACAUCCUUUGUGGUGUCUAGAUUCCGUUAGCCUCCCCAUUAGAAUAAUAGAUCAUCCUUACCAAGGUUAGAAGGAGACUACGGUUGCAGUCUUCUCUUUUUAUCACUCACAUCGAAAGACAUUCUUUGUGCCUAAAGGUUAGUAGUAAUAGACCGGUUAGUCAGAUGCACUCUUUCUCCUAGUGGUAAAAUAAAUAAAUACGAUACUCUGGAUAACCUCCCGGGUGAAGUGCUCACCGAUAUCCGUGCGCUUGCGGAUCAAUUCCUUAUUGUGUUCCCAAAUAUCAACAGGUACCCCUAAUUCUACUGCUGGACACUUGUCCAUUUUUUUCUGCGAGGUUGUCAAGCACUUGCUCCUUUUUAUUUCCUCGAAAUAUCUUUAUUUUUGCAUAGCCCAUGCCUCUAAUGCAAUAAUACUUCGGAAGAGUGAAUCUUUCUAAAUAAAUGUCUUGAUCUUAGGAGCAUGAUAAAUCUCUCAACAAGGGUCUAACUCAUUUUGAACAAACUCAAUACAUAGCAGAUAGUUUUUUAUAAUCAUAAUUAAUAUUUUCAGUUUUAUCGGGCAUAUAAAACGCUGAGGAUGGUAGCUAGAAUUUUUAAAAUAAAUUCUCCAAGCAACAAUGAUAUCAAGAAUAAGAAAUUCAUACUAUACCAUUUCACAUUCCAUAUUGACUUAAGUAGCACAGGGUUUUAAAAUGAUUUUCAAUAAUUGCAAGUUUCAAGGAAUAUCACAGAGUGAGAUUAAUCAUGAUUAGAAAUAUUUCAAUCUUUUUAAUUUAUCAUGUCGGAAACAAUAUUCUGCAUAAUCUAAGAUAUAUAUAUGAGUAUGUGUAAAGUAAGUGUACAGACUGUGUACCUAAAUCGUGGAGUGGUGUAGUUGAAGUGUGUUUGGCAUGUCGAGGGAUCUCCCCCAUACUUGUUUUCUACUUUCUUGCACAAGAAUAAAGUAGAGAUACACAAGACAUAAUAGUAAUAAUAAUAAUACUCUUUAUUAAUCUUGAGGCAUUUAUUACAAAUGACUAGUAGCAAACUGACGAUAAUAGUAGCAAACUGACGAUAAUAGUAAACCUAAACCGAAUUUAAAGAUAGAGAACUAAGAUGCAUUGCCUCAAGGUCUAAUCUAGAUAACUCAGUGGCGCUCUAAUUCCUUGAUCUUCUUAUUGGCACUAGCAAGAUCAUGCCUAAGGCCUAAUAUAAUGGUGUUGUGGUUAGAGAGCUGCCUAGUGAGGGAAUUAAUCGAGGACUGGAGGUCUAUGAUAACUCUGUCUAGCCUGCGAACGUCCUCAUCAAUAUCUACUAUAGUCUUGCGACGCUUGGGAGGUGUCUCAAAAGCAUUGAGAGCGUGCUUCAGGGCUGCCUUUGGAGGGAUGAAACAGACUUUGGCUGCUCUAACCCCUUCAAAGUAAGGUCUUUCCUCCUCCGUAGUGUAGCAUAUGCUGCUGAUCUCGCCGCUCCGGUUGGUCUUGACUCCAACGACCCUCUCAUUGGGUCUAGGUGGAAGGAUCCUCGUGUCGGUUAGCACCUUGAUAGUGGUCUUCGUCUUGGAUGAUGUUCCCUUGAGGAGUAGGGGUUGUGGUGGUGCGGUGAGAACUGGUUGAGCAUGAUAGGAUUGGGCAGAGCUACGCUGGUGUAAUGGCAUGGCUUCUAGCUGUCGCUCUGUGUUGGCCGGGAUGAGAUAACGGGCGUCGGGGUCUUCCUUAGGCUCCAUGUUGAGGUUGAAGGGGACAACUUCCCAAUCAUCGUGGAACUUCUCGGCCAUUGGAGGAGCGAGGGGCUAAACAAGCUCUAAUUGAAGAAGAAGAAGAGAAGGCUUGGUGGAUUAGUGUUUGAAAACUGAUGUCAGGGUCAGUUUAUAUAGGGGUCAAAAAUUGCCUCUAGGGGUUUGUUCUGGUUGCUCCCGUCGAUGUGCGUGCGAAACUUUCCAUCUGAGGGAUUAUUCGGAUUACCAUAAUUGUAUUUUCCUUAAUAGAGAAAAUUGGGACCGAGGGGAAACAGGAGCUGGGCGCCCGCCCGCUUGAUCAGGGCGCCCGCCCUCUCUCUGGCUCCUCUGUGGGCCCGCUUUCUCGAGCGUGUUUCUAGAUGCAGAACUAAUUAGGUAACUAUAUGUAUGACCCAAAAACGGUAGAUUAAAAAGGUCAGGCUCUAAAUCUCCAUGGGAAGUUAAAAAUGGACUAUGUCUAUUUCUUAUAAUUCUUUAUUGGGCUCUAAAAACAAUUUAAGACGUUGACCAUUUACCUUGAAUAACGUACCUUCGUCAUUUUGAAGUGUGAUAGCUCCAUGGGAUGAUGAAUUAAUCACCUUGAAUGGUCUUUCCCAUUUGCUCCAGAGUUUUCCAUGCCCGAAAAGCUUCACCCUGGAAUUAAAAACUAAUACCUUAUCUCCGGGUGCGAACUCCUUCUUCUUGAUCCUCUUGUCAUGCCACCUUUUGACUCUUUCUUUGUAGAUCUUCGAAUUGUGAUAUGCUUUCUCUCGCCAUUCUUCCAAUUCUGAUAGUUGCAUUCUUCUAUGAUCUCCAGCGACAUCGAGCUCCAUAUUCCAUCUCUUUAUGGCCGAGUGUGCUUUGAACUCUAGUUCAACAGGUAGGUGGCAAGUCUUCCCGUACACCAAUUGGUAUGGGGACAUUCCAAUUGGGGUCUUGUAUGCUGUCCGGUAUGCCCAGAGUGCAUCGGGUAACUUAUCUUUCCAUGCCGUUCCCAUUUCAUUUACUGUCUUCUGAAGAAUAUUCUUGAUUUGCUUAUUGGAAGUCUCUGCUUGGCCACUUGUCUGAGGAUGAUAGGGGGUAGCGACGUUGUGACGGAUUCCAUGUUUUGAUAGAUAUUGCUUGAAGCGUUUGUCGAUGAAGUAUGCUCGUCCAUCACUUAUCACUACUCUAGGGACUCCAAAUCCUGGAAAUAUAAUUUCUUCAAACAUCCUCUUUGAACUGAUGUUGUCGGCAUGCUUGCAAGGUAAUGCCUCUACCCACUUGGAGACGUAGUCAACUGCCACCAAGAUGUACUCACACUUCAUUGAUGGAGGAAAUAGACCCAUGUAGUCUAUUCCAUGAACAUCAAAGAGCUCAAUCUGAAGGUUGUUGGUGAGUGGCAUUGCAUCCCUUGUAUUUAUGUUUCCGUGCCUUUGAGAUGACCCACAUCUUCUGAUAUAUUGCUUCGUGUAUUCAUACAUUGUAGGCCAGUAGAAUCCACACUGCCAGAUCUUUGAAUGUGUACAGAAUGCUCCAUAGUGACCUCCAUAUGGUGAUGAAUGACAUCUAUCGAUAAUCUUCCAUCCUUCCUCAGCGGUCACACAUCUCCUGAGUAAGCCAUCACAACAUACUCGGAAGAGGUAUGGCUCAUCCCAUAUAUGUGAAUGACUUUCUUGAAUAAGCUUCUUCUUGUUUUCUCCUGGUGGUACAUACCCUGAAACCAUAAAAUUAACAAUAUCUGCAUACCAGAGGUCAGACCUGUUAAUCCCGUAGAGCAUGUCGUCCCGGAGUGAAUCAUUGAUGGGGGUUUCCUGUGGACUCUUAAAAUACAUUCUAGACAAGUGAUCAGCAACAGAAUUUUCUACUCCCUUUUUAUCUUUUAUUUCUAAGUCAAAUUCUUGGAGUAAUAAGAUCCAUCUAAUCAGGCGAGGUUUAGCAUCUUUUUUAGUGACCAAAUAUUUUAGUGCAGCAUGAUCAGUGUAAACAAUUAUUUUAGCUCCAACUAAAUAAGAUAUAAAUUUAUCAAUGGCAAAGACAACAGUCAGAAGCUCUUUUUCAGUGGUUGCAUAAUUAAAUUGAGCUCCUGUCAAAGUUUUACUGGCAUAAGCAAUUGCAUGAUGCUUCUUGUCUUUAGUUUGUCCCAAAACUGCCCCCACAGCAUAAUCAUUAGCAUCACACAUAAUUUCAAAAGGUAAUGACCAAUCAGGGGGUUGAAUGAUUGGUGCAGAGAUGAGUGCUUUCUUUAGUAAAUUGAAAGAUGUUAGACAUGCAUCAUCAAAUUCGAAAGGAGCAUCCUUGGCUAGCAAAAGAGUAAGUGGUCUAGCAAUGAAUGAAAAAUCUUUUAUGAAUCUACGAUAAAAACCAGCAUGGCCAAGAAAGCUUCGAAUUCCUUUUAUAUUCACAGGUGGAGGUAGUUGUUCAAUUACUUCAAUUUUAGCUUUGUCUACCUCAAUACCUCUUUCAGAUACUAGGUGUCCCAGCACUAUUCCUUCUGUAACCAUAAAAUGACAUUUUUCCCAAUUAAGGACUAAGUGCUUUUCUUCACAUCAUUGCAAAACCUUGUCUAAGUUUUCAAGACAACUAUCAAAAGUUUUUCCAUAAACAGAGAAAUCAUCCAUGAAAACUUCCACAAUCUCUUCAAUCAUAUCAGAAAAUAUAGACAUCAUGCAUCUUUGAAAAGAAGCUAGUGCAUUACAUAAACCAAAAGACAUUCUACGGUAAGCAUAAGUUCCAUAUGGGCAUGUAAAAGUGGUUUUGCUUUGAUCAUCAAGAUGGAUUGGGAUCUGGUGAUACCCUAAAUAUCCAUCUAAGAAACAGAAGAACGAAUGGUUCGCUAAUCCCUCUAGCAUCUCAUCUAUGAAAGGUAAAGGAAAAUGAUCCUUUCUCGUGGCUUUGUUUAGUUUUCUAUAGUCUAUGCACAUCCGCCAUUCUUUGACGGUGCGUUGCGGAAUUAGCUCGUUCUUUUCAUUCAUAAUAACAAUCAUGCCUCCCUUUUUAGGCACAACUUGAACUGGGCUUACCCACUCACUAUGCGGCACAGGAUAUAUAAUCCCUACAUGCAGCAACUUUAUAACUUCCUUUUUAACUACCUCUCUCAUAGUGUUGUUAAGUCUACGUUGGGGCUCUCGAGAAGGAGAAACAGAAGGAUCUGUUGGAAUACGAUGGGUACAAAUCAUAGGACUGAUUCCUGUAAGAUCUUGGAGUGAGUAGCCGAAAACUGAGUGAUGUUUCUCAAGAAUGGUCAUUAAUCACAGAGUUUGAUCCUGAGUGAGUUUAUCACUAAUGAUCACAGGAAACUCUGGAUUAUUGUUUAGGAAAGCGUAGAUAAGACCGGGUGGUAAAGUCUUAAGCUCUAUGGGAGUUCUAGGUGUUUCUGCAAACUCAUCUAAGGGUUCAGGUUCAGAAGGUUUAGCUUCUUCUUCUGUGAAGAAAGGAGUUUCGUCUUCUAAGUCUGGUUCAUCUAAAAGCUCUAGAGAUGCAGCCUUUACCUCCUCCAAAGGAUCAGGCAACAGAUAUGACUCGGCCUUAUUGUUUAAGGAGUGUGAAAUUGUUAUGGGAAUUUUAAAGGUUUUUCCAAAAGAAAUGUGUAGCUUUCUAGUAUGACCUUCAUAAAGGAGUCUUCUAAAAGGUUGUCCUAUCAACAGGUCGAAGUCCCAAGUAUCAAAGAUAUUGAAGUUCGAAUGAACCAUGGAGCCUUCCACCAUAAGAGGUAGGACAUUAAUAAUUCUAAGACUGGGGACUAAUUGUCCUGAAGAUUCCUUUAUGACCUUAGUUGUGGGGGUUAAAACAAGAUUUUUAAAUAACUUAAGUGCAAAAGAUUCAGACAUGAUGUUGAUCCCCACAACAGGAUUAUAGAGAGCAUCAAAUCGAACAGAAUCAUAAGCACAACGUAUAGUUAUAGAGGGUGUGUCCAUACGGAUUACAUCAGAGGAAAGCUCUGAUUCCUCCAACCACUCGCUACUCAUGACUGAGAUAAGCUCUCUUAAUUGAUAUUCACUUGGUAAAUAAAUGCUAAACUGGCCAUUUUGGGGUUUGUCGAUAGAAUGGUAGUUCGAAAUGUUUCCAAAAUCGGCAAAAAGAUCAAAUUCUAUAACCAGCAUGAAGUCCGGUGGUGGAAUUUCUUCAUUUUGUGGCUCAGAAAUUGGGAUAGCUAAAGUAGAUGAAGAAUUUGGCAGAGUGUCUACUUCGGCUACGUAGGUUUCAUCAUGAAGGGUAUUAUCCAUCUCAGCUUAUAGGAUUCUAUCUAGGAUCACACUAGCUUCAUCAGUAGGGAUGCGAAAGAAAGAACCUCUAGACAUUGUGUGUAGCAUUUGUUUAUCAUUUUUCUGAAGACCUCGAAAAAAGUGAAAUAAAAGAACAGGGUCUUCAAGAUUAAGGUUUGGACCAGAUUCUAAAAGAUCAGGAAAAACGUUUCUAGGAUUUUCCCAAAGUUUCAUUAUCUUUUUGUUUAAAAGAUAGGACUUCGAGUCUAAGGUCGCCGAUACGGUCGAGGGAAUAAAAAUCUAGACAAAAGUUAGCUCGUAAAACUCCCCAUUCACCUUGUUUUUGACUUACCUUCUGACUGUACCAUUGUCUAGCUUCUCCCCUUAAAGAAAAAGGAAAAAGCUUCCAACGUAAAGUUUUAUCAGAAAUGCCUUCAAUGCGAAGACAAUCACAUGUUUGCUCAAAAUCUCUAAUAUGAAGGUAAGGGUUUUCGUCUUCCUUUCCCGAAAAAGAUAGGUUUUGAAUCAUGGCAAUCAACCUAGAACUUAACCUAUACUGGGAUGUUUCGAUAGGCUAUGAUGACACCCAUGGUAAAAGGUCAGUUACUGAAGGGAUUGCAGAUUCAUGGAUCAAUUUAGAAUUUUGGUUUUCCAUAAGGUAAGAAUAAAGAAAAUAAGCAAAGAAUAUAAAAGAUAAGAAAAGAUAAAAGUAUAGAUACAAGCUAGUAGUAAGACUCAAGGUUAUCUCAGCAAACCGUCUUUCUCCCCGGCAACGACGCCAGAAAUGCUUAUUGAUAUUUGGAAACGCAAUAAGGAGUGGAUCCGCAAGCGCACGGAUAUCAGUGAGCACUUCACCCGGGAGGGUAUCCAGAGUAUCGUAUUUAUAUUUUUACCACUAGGAGAAAGAGUGCAUCUGACUAACCCGGUCUAUUACUAGUAACCCUUUAGGCAACAAAGAAUGUUUCUCGAUGUGAGUGAUAAAUAGAGAAGACUACAACCAUAAUCUCCUUCUAACCUUGGUAAGGAUGAUCUACUGUUCUAUUGGAGAGGCUAACGGAAUCUAGACACCCCAGAGGAUGUUCAACCCGCACCUAUAAACCCUAUCCUUCUUGCUAACCAGAUAUGGUCUACAAAGGUAACUCGGAAAUGUCACGUUCCUCGCUACUACCACGGUCCCGCUAGUCAAGGAAUAUCUAUGAGUACCCUAGCCUAAACACCACAUUUACGCUAGCAAUGAUUACUCUAAACUCUACGCGAAGAGAUUAAAGUAAACUCAUAAACCAAAAUAACAAUAAAACAAGAACUUACUAGAAUUUAGAAGUCGAAAUACUGAAGAAUCCUAGGAGCAAGCUUCGAGUUAGGAGAACUUGAUCCCGCAGGUACAAACUUGGAGUAGACACCAACAGGCUGGGCUUCCUCCGAUCUACACCUUCACUCUAUCUCUCUCUAUCUAGUAGAAACUAGAAGAUCUAUUUCUACUCACAUUGGUUGGUAAGCCUAAAAAGAAAUUUUAUUUAGAGAAGAGGUUUUCCUUCGAGGGCUCCCCUCAACUCUAUGAUAAACUUUUCUCCUCUAGGGGCCAGGGCUCUGGUUUUAUAGUCCCCUCAAGUGAACGUGAGCCGUUGGAUCAAACCAACAUUGAUUGGACGGUUAUCCUUGAUCCUUUAGGUCGGUGGAACGUCGUGUGCGAAAAGAGUCCUGAUUGGCAUCCCAUAGAGGGCGGGCGCCCAGGUCAACUGGGCGGGCGCCCAGGGCCUGGCUCCGUUCGGCCUCUGCUUCCUUCCCGUGGCUUCUGGAGUCUUCUAGAUGGUAGAAAAUUGCGCGGUGCGUUGAUAUCUCUAUGUAAUCCCAACAUGUGGGCCUUUCUUCCUUAUUUCCUGAUAACCCCCUGCAAAAACAGAUAAACAACAAAACUUGUGGAAUUCUGUCAAAUCAAACCCUAAUUCCAGGUGUUGUUUGUAUAUUGGUUCUUUCUCUUGUUUAUUUAAUAAUUAAAAUUGAUACUUGAGAACCGUCAACACAAGGCUAAAAACUAGAUACUUGCAAGGAAUUACGAUAGAGCAAGUAUUCAUCAUCUCCAUAUAGGAGUUUAUUCUAGAGGUUCAUUUUAACAAAUUCCUUAAGAUCUCUCGAUAGCUAGAAAAUUUAAUUAUGAAAGAUAAAAUAUUUAUUGGGUUUCUGAAGUUAUUUAUCUUUUUAUGUUGUCAUAACGCACUAGGAAUAAAUAGAUGAGUAAGUAAGAGAUACUUAGGUCAGUAUAUGGGGGAUGCUCUCCUCCAAGCUAGAUAUUGACAUAGUCUACUAAGAUUGCUGACGGGCAGUGAAGGCGUACUGAUCUUCCUGGAGUGUCGUGGGUACUUGCUGUCAGAAACAGCACUUGCCAGAUGUGGACAGUACUCUGAUAGGAGACAAGACGUCCUUCUGCGUGUUAAUUCUUCUUGAUCCUUUAAAGCCUGUGAAGCUUAAAUAGACAACAAAGCUUGUGGAACUGAUUAAGCAUUUGUAAUAAAUCUCUAAGCUUUGGGAGUCUAGAACUUUCUUAUACCCAUUUAUCUUUUAGCAGGAUCAAUGUAUUUUUAUGCUUUUUAAAUUAAUGGUAUGCAGACAAGGAAAUAAAUAUGCUAAAAAUAAUUUUUGUGACUCCAUAGUAGAUACGUAUGUGAGCUAUUGCAUCACAUAAUAAAUACAUGGGGCUUAGCAUUUUCUAGAUGCAAUACAAGACAUAUUUAUUUUCUUUUCUAAUGCAGCAAUAAAAAUAAAGAUGCAACUAUAUUUAUUUUCAUGGCGCGGUGUUUGGUGAUUUUAAGUCCUCCAAAUAGAACAUUCUUGAUUGCUCACUAAUCGAGGGGCGCAUCGGACGGCGCCACAGGUGCUAUGUCCUGUGCAGGAUUUAAUUCUAAAUUUACGUUAGGCAUCCAUACCUACCCUGGAUGAGAGAGUGUCUGGAAUUAUUAUCUCUUCUUCUGCUGGUACCUCCUCUUUGACGGUGUUCUCCUGAUCUAUGAAUCUUGAAACCACUCCUUCAUAGUCGGCCCAUCCAUCUACAACAUUCUUCUUCUUCUGGUGGCCGGUGUUGAUAUUUGGGAACGCAAUAAGGAAUUGAUCCGCAAGCGCACGGAUAUCGGUGAGCACUUCACCCGGGAAAUUAUCCAGAGUCUCGUAUUUAUUUUUUUACCACUAGGAGAAAGAGUGCAUCUGACUAACCGGUCUAUUACUACUAACCUUUAGGCACAAAGAAUGUCUUUCGAUGUGAGUGAUAAAUAGAGAAGACUGCAACCGUAGUCUUCUUCUAACCUUGGUAAGGAUGAUCUACUGUUCUAAUGGGGAGGCUAACGGAAUCUAGACACCACAAAGGAUGUUCAACCCGCACCUAUAAAACCUAUCCUUCCUGCUAACGAGAUGUGAUCUACAAAGGUAACUCGGAAUUGUCACGUUCCUCACUACUACCACGGUCCAGCUAGUCAGGGAAUAUCUAUGAGUACCCCAGCCUAAACACCACGUUUACGCCAGCAAUGAUUACUCUAAACUCUACGCGAAGAGAUUAAAGUAAACUCAUAAACCAUAAGAACAAUAAAACAAGAACUUACUAGAAUUUAGAAGUCGAAAUACUAAAGAAUCCUAGGAGCAAGCUUCGGGUUAGGAGAACUUGAUCCCGCAGGUACAAGCUUGGAGUAGACACCGACAGGCCGGGCUUCCUCCAAUCUACACCUCCACUCUAUCUCUCUCAAUCUAGUAGAAACUAGAAGAUCUAUUUCUACCUUACAUUGGUUGCUAAGCCUAAAAAGAAAUAUUAAUUAGAGAAGAGGUUUUCCUUCGAGGGCACCCCUCAGUCUCUAUGAUAAUUUCUUCAUGUCUUCUCCAGGGGCCAGGGGGUCUCCUUAUAUAGUCCUCCCCUUCUAUGCGUUUUUGGGUCGAUAGGCGAGGUGGUACUAUGUUUUUCUUGAUCCAAUAGGUCGGUGGAAUAUCCCGAGUGAAGAGAGUCCUGAAUCGAAUCCAGCAGGGGGCGGGCACCUAGGUCACCAGGGCGGGCGCCCUGGGCCUGGCCCCUUUCGGCCUCCGUCUUCUUCCCGUGGCUUCUGGAGUCUUCUAGAUGGUGUAAAAUCGCGCGGUGCGUUGAUAUCUCUAUGUAAUCCCGACAUGUGGGCCUUUCUUCCUUAUUUCCUGAUAACCCCCUGCAGAAACAGAUAAACAACAAAACUCGUGGAAUUCUGUCAGACCAAACCCUAAUUCUAGGUGUUGGUUGCAUAUUGGUCCUUUCUCUUGUUUAUUUGACAAUUAAAAUUGACACUUAAGACGGUUCUUAAGUAUAAAUUUUAAUUAUCAAAUAAACAAGAGANNNNNNNNNNNNNNNNNNNNNNNNNNNNNNNNNNNNNNNNNNNNNNNNNNNNNNNNNNNNNNNNNNNNNNNNNNNNNNNNNNNNNNNNNNNNNNNNNNNNCUACUGCUAAUCUUCGACUGGUUCGGGUAGGGAUUGAUCUGACAGAAUUCCACGAGUUUUGUUAUUUAUCUGUUUCUGCAGGGGGUUAUCAGGAAAUAAGGAAGAAAGGCCCACAUGUCGGGAUUCAUAGAGAUAUCAACGCACCGCGCAAUUUUACACCAUCUAGAAGAAUCCAGAAGCCACGAGACCGAAGCGGAGGCGAAACGGGGCCAGGCCCAGGGCGCCCGCCCUGAGGACCUGGGCGCCCGCCCCCCUCUGGAGCCCAAUCAGGACUCUCUUCGCUCGGGAUAUUCCACCGACCUAUUGGAUCAAGAAAAACAUAGUACCACCUCGCCUAUCGACCCAAAAACGCAUAGAAGGGGAGGACUAUAUAAGCAAGGCCCCCCUGGCCCCUGGAGAAGACAUGAAGAAAUUAUCAUAGAGACUGAGGGGUGCCCUCGAAGGAAAACCUCUUCUCUAAUUAAUAUUUCUUUUUAGGCUUAGCAAUCAAUGUAAGGUAGAUAUAGAUCUUUUAGUUUCUACUAGAUUGAGAGAGAUAGAGUGGAGGUGUGGAGUGGAGGAAGCCCGGCCUGUCGGUGUCUACUCCAAGCUUGUACCUGCGGGAUCAAGUUCUCCUAACCCGAAGCUUGCUCCUAGGAUUCUUCAGUAAUUCGACUUCUAAAUUCUAGUAAGUUCUUAUUUUAUUGUUCUUAUGGUUUAUGAGUUUACUUUAAUCUCUUCGCGUAGAUUUUAGAGUAAUCAUUGCUGGCGUAAACGUGGUGUUUAGGCUGGGGUACUCAUAGAUAUUCUCUGACUAGCUGGACCGUGGUAGUAGUGAGGAACGUGACAAUUCCGAGCUACCUUUGUAGAUCACAUCUCGUUAGCAGGAAGGAUAGGGUUUAUAGGUGCGGGUUGAACAUCUUUUGUGGUGUCUAGAUUCCGUUAGCCUCCCCAUUAGAACAGUAGAUCAUUCUUACCAAGGUUAGAAGGAGACUACGGUUGCAGUCUUCUCUAUUUAUCACUCACAUCGAAAGACAUUCUUUGUGCCUAAAGGUUAUUAGUAAUAGACCGGUUAGUCAGAUGCACUCUUUCUCCUAGUGGUAAAAAAAUAAAUACGAUACUCUGGAUAAUUUCCCGGGUGAAGUGCUCACCGAUAUCCGUGCGCCUACGGAUCAAUUCCUUAUUGCGUUCCCAAAUAUCAACAAGCAUUUCUGGCGCCGUUGCCGGGAGAAAGACGGUUGCUGAGAUAACCUGAGUCUUAGUAUUAGCUUGUAUCUAUACUUUUAUCUUUUCUUAUCUUUUAUAUUCUUCCUUUAUUUUCUUUAUUCUUACCUUAUGGAAAACCAAAAUUCUAAAUCGAUCAUGAGUCUGCAAUCCCUUUAGCAACUGACCUUUUACCAUGGGAAUCAUCACAGCCUAUCCAAACAUCCCAGUAUAAGUUAAGUUCUAGGUUUAUUGCCAUGAUUCAAAACCUAUCUUUUUCGGGAAAGGAAGACGAAAACCCUUACCUUCAUAUUAGAGAUUUUGAGCAAACAUGUGAUUGUCUUCGCAUUGAAGGCAUUUCUGAUAAGACUUUACGUUGGAAGCUUUUUCCUUUUUCUCUAAGGGGAGAAGCUAGACAAUGGUACAGUCAGAAGGUAAGUCAACAACAAGGUGAAUGGGGAGUUUUACGAGCCAACUUUUGUCUAGAUUUCUAUUCCCUUGACCGUAUAGCCGACCUUAGACUCGAAGACCUAUCUUUUAAACAAAAAGAUAAUGAAACUUUGGGAAAAUCCUGGAAACAUUUUUCUGAUCUUUUAGAAUCUGGUCCAAACCUUAAUCUUGAAGACCCUGUUCUUUUGUUUCACUUUUUUCGAGGUCUUCAUAAAAAUCACAAACAAAUGCUUCACACAAUGUCUAGAGGUUCUUUCUUUCGCAUCCCUGCUGAUGAAGCUAGAGUGAUCCUAGAUAGAAUCCUAGAAGCUGAGAUGGAUAAUACCCUUCAUGAUGAAACCUACGAAGCCGAAGUAGACACUCUGCCAAAUUCUUCAUCUACUUUAGCUAUUCCAAGUUUUGAGCCACAAGAGGAAGAAAUUCCACUACCGGACUUCAUGCUGGAUAUAGAAUCCGAUCUUUUUGCCGAUUUUGGAAAUAUUUCAAACUACCAUUCUAUUGACAAACCCCAAAACGGCCAGUUUAGCAUUUAUUUGCCAAGUGAAUUUCAAUUGAGAGAGCUUAUCUCAGUAAUGAGUAGCGAAUGGUUGGAGGAAUCAGAGCUUUCCUCUGAUGUAAUCCGUUUGGACACACCCUCUAUAACUAUACGCUGUGCUUAUAAUUCUGAUCGACUUAAUGCUCUUUAUAAUCCUGUUGUGGGGAUCAACAUCAUGUCUGAAUCUAUUGCACUUAAACUAUUUAAAAAUCUUGUCUUAACCCCCACAACAAAGGUCAUAAAGGAAUCUUCGGGACGAUUAGUCCCCAGUCUUGGAAUUAUUAAUGUCCUGCCUCUUACGGUAGAAGGCUCCAUGGUUCAUUUGAACUUCUAUAUCUUUGAUACAUGGGACAUCGACCUGUUGACAGGACAACCUUUUAGAAGACUCCUUUAUGAAGGUCAUACUGGAAAGCUACACAUUUCUUUUGGAAAAACCUUUAAAUUCCCAAUAAUAAUUUCACACUCCUUAAAUAAUAAGGCCGAGUCAUAUCUUUUGCCUGAUCCUAUGGAGGAAGUAAAGGCUGCAUCUCUAGAGCUUUUAGAUGAACCAGACUUAGAAGACGAAACUCCUUUCUUCACAGAAGAAGAAGACGAACCUUUCGAGCCUGAACCCUUAGAUGAGUUUGCAGAAACACCUAGACCCCCCAUAGAGCUUAAAACUGUACCACCCGGUCUUACCUAUGCUUUCCUAAACAAUAAUCCAGAGUUCCCUAUGAUCAUUAGCGAUAAACUCACUCAGGAUCAAACUCUGCGAUUAAUGACCAUUAUUGAGAAACAUCACUCAGUUUUCGGCUACUCACUUCAAGAUCUUACAGGAAUUAGUCCUAUGAUUUGUACCCAUCGUAUUCUAACAGAUCCUUCUGUUACACCCUCUCGAGAACCCCAACGUAGACUUAACAACACUAUGAGAGAGGUAGUUAAAAAGGAAGUUAUAAAGUGGCUGCAUGCAGGGAUUAUAUAUCCUGUGCCGCACAGUGAGUGGGUGAGCCCAGUCCAAGUUGUGCCUAAAAAGGGAGGCAUGACUGUUAUUAUGAAUGAAAAGAACGAGCUAAUUCCGCAACGCACCGUCACAGGAUGGCGGAUGUGCAUAGACUAUAGAAAACUACACAAAGCUACGAGAAAGGAUCACUUUCCUUUACCGUUCAUAGAUGAGAUGCUAGAGCGGUUAUUCAGGGUAUCAUCAAAUCCCGAUCCAUCCUAAUGAUCAAAGCAAAACCACUUUUACAUGCCCUUAUGGAACUUAUGCUUAUCAUAGAAUGUCUUUUGGGUUAUGUAAUGCACCAGCUUCUUUUCAAAGAUGCAUGAUGUCUAUAUUUUCUGAUAUGAUUGAAGAGAUUAUGGAAGUUUUCAUGGAUGAUUUCUCUGUUUAUGGAAAAACUUUUGAUAGUUGUCUUGAAAACUUAGACAAGGUUUUGCAAAGAUGUGAAGAAAAGCACUUAAUCCUUAAUUGGGAAAAAUGUCAUUUUAUGGUUAGGGAAGGAAUAGUGCUAGGACACUUAGUGUCUGAAAGAGGGAUUGAGGUAGACAAAGCUAAAAUUGAAGUAAUUGAACAACUACCUCCACCUGUAAACAUAAAAGGAAUUCGAAGCUUUCUUGGCCAUGCUGGUUUUUAUCGUAGAUUCAUAAAAGAUUUUUCAUUCAUUGCUAGACCACUUACUCUUUUGCUAGCCAGGGAUGCUCCUUUCGAAUUUGAUGAUGCAUGUCUAACAUCUUUCAAUUUAUUAAAGAAAGCACUCAUCUCUGCACCAAUCAUUCAACCCCCUGAUUGGUCGUUACCUUUUGAUAUUAUGUGUGAUGCUAGUAAUUAUGCUGUGGGGGUAGUAUUAGGACAAACUAAAGACAAGAAGCAUCAUGCAAUUGCUUAUGCCAGUAAAACUUUGACAGGAGCUCAACUUAACUAUGCAACCACUGAAAAAGAGCUUCUGGCUGUUGUCUUUGCCAUUGAUAAAUUUAGAUCUUAUUUAGUUGGAGCUAAAAUAAUUGUUUACACUGAUCAUGCUGCAUUAAAAUAUUUGCUCACUAAAAAAGAUGCUAAACCUCACCUGAUUAGAUGGAUCUUAUUACUCCAAGAAUUUGACUUAGAAAUAAAAGAUAAAAAGGGAGUAGAGAAUUCUGUUGCUGAUCACUUGUCUAUAAUGUAUUUUAAGAGUCCACAGGAAACCCCCAUCAAUGAUUCACUCCGGGACAACAUGCUCUACGGGAUUAACAGGUCUGACCCCUGGUAUGCAGAUAUUGUUAAUUUUAUGGUUUCAGGGUAUGUACCACCAGGAGCAAACAAGAAGAAGCCUAUUCAAGAAAGUCGUUCACAUAUAUGAGAUGAGCCAUACCUCUUCCGAGUAUGCUCUGAUGGCUUACUCAGGAGAUGUGUGACCACUGAGGAAGGAUGGAAGAUCAUUGACAGAUGUCAUUCGUCACCAUAUGGAGGUCACUAUGGAGCAUUCCGUACACAUUCAAAGAUCUGGCAGUGUGGAUUCUAUUGGCCUACAAUGUAUGAAGACACGAAGCAAUAUAUCAGAAGAUGUGGGCCAUGUCAAAGACACGGAAACAUAAAUACAAGGGAUGCAAUGCCACUCACCAACAACCUUCAGAUUGAGCUCUUUGAUGUCUGGGGAAUAGACUACAUGGGUCCAUUUCCUCCAUCAAAGAAGUGUGAGUACAUCUUGGUGGCAGUUGACUAUGUCUCCAAGUGGGUAGAAGCAUUACCUUGCAAGCAUGCCGACAACGUCAGUUCAAAGAGGAUGUCUGAAGAAAUUAUAUUUGCAAGAUUUGGAGUCCCCAGAGUAGUGAUAAGUGAUGGAGGAGCACACUUCAUCGACAAACGCUUCAAGCAAUAUCUAUCAAGACAUGGAAUCCGUCACAACGUCGCUACCCCCUAUCAUCCUCAGACAAGUGGCCAAGCAGAGACUUCCAACAAACAAAUCAAGAAUAUUCUUCAGAAGACAGUAAAUAAAAUGGGAAUGGCGUGGAAAGACAAGCCACCCGAUGCACUCUGGGCAUACCGGACAGCAUACAAGACCCCAAUCGGAAUGUCUCCAUACCAAUUGGUGUACGGGAAGACUUGCCAUCUACCUGUUGAACUAGAAUUCAAAGCACACUGGGCCAUAAAGAGAUGGAAUAUGGACCUAGAUGUUGCUGGAGAUUAUAGAAGAAUGCAACUAUCAGAAUUGGAAGAAUGGUGAGAGAAGGCAUAUCACAAUUCAAAGAUCUACAAAGAAAGAGUCAAGAGGUGGCAUGACAAGAUAAUCAAGAAGAAGGAGUUCACAUCCGGAGAUAAGGUAUUACUUUUUAAUUCCAGGGUGAAGCUUUUCGGGCAUGGAAAACUCCGGAGCAAAUGGGAAGGACCAUUCAAGGUAAUCAAUUCAUCAUCCCACGGUGCUAUCACACUUCAAAAUAGCGAAGGUACGUUAUUCAAGGUAAAUGGUCAGCGUCUUAAAUUAUUUUUAGAGCCCAAUGAGGAAUUUGAAGAAAUAGACGUAGUCCAUUUUUACCUUCCCAUGGAGAAUUAGAGCCCGACACUUUUGGUCUGAUGGUUUUGGGUCAUAUAUAUAUUUUUCUAAAUAAUUCCGCAUCUAGAAACGCGCUCGGAGAAGUGGGCCCACAGAGGGGCCAGAGAGAGGGCGGGCGCCCAGCCCCUGUUCCCCCUCGGUCCCGACUUUCUCUGUUAUGGAAAAUGCACUUAGGGUGAUCCGAAUAAUCCCUCGGAUAGAAAGUUUUGCACGCACGUCGACGGGAGCAACCCGAACAACCCAUAGAGGCACCCUUUUGACCCCUAUAUAAACAGACCCCUGACCUCAGUUUUCAAACACCAAGCCACCAAGCUUUCUCUCCUUCAAUUAGAGCUUGAUUAGCUCUCCUUCAAUUAAAAUUUGAUUUGUUCCUUGCUGCUCCAAUGGCCGAGAAGUACCACGAUGAUUGGGAAGUUGUCCCCUUCAACCUCAACAUGGAGCCUGUGGAAGACCCCGAUGCCCGUGCUCUCGUCCCGGCCAACACAGAGCGUCAGCUAGAAGCCAUGCCGUUACGCCAACGCAGCUCCGCCCAAUCUUACCAUGCUCAACCAGUUCUCACCGCACGGCCACAACCCCUACUCCUCACAGGAUCAUCAUCCUAGACGAAGACCACUAUCAAGGUGCCAAUCGGCACAAGGAUCCUUCCACCUAGACCUAAUGAGAGGGUCGUUGGAGUCAAGACCAAUCGGAGCGGCGAGAUCAGUAGUAUUCGCUACACUACGGAGGAGGAAAGGCCUUACUUCGAAGGGAUUAGAGCAGCCAAAGUCUGUUUCAUCCCUCCAAAGGCAGCCCCAAAGCACUCUCUCAAUGCUUUUGAGACACCUCCCAAGCGUCGCAAGACUAUAAUGGAUAUUGAUGAGGAAGUUCGCAGGCUAGAUAGAGUUAUCAUAGACCUCCAGUCCUCGAUUAAUUCCCUCACUAGGCAGCUCUCUAACCACAACACCAUUAUACUAGGCCUUAGGCAGGAUCUUGCCAGUGCCAACAAGAAGAUCAAAGAAUUAGAGCGCCGCUAAGUUAUCUAGAUUAGAGCUUGAGGCAAUGCAUCUUAGUCAUCUAUCUUUAAAUUCGGUUUAAGUUUGCUAAUAUCAGUUUACUAUCAGUUUGCUAUCAGUCUUUUGUAAUAAAUGCCUCAAGAUCAAUAAAGAGUAUUAUUAUUAUUAUUAUUAUUAUUAUUAUUAUUAUUAUUAUUAUUAUUAUUAUUAUUAUUAUUAUUAUUAUUAUUAUUAUUAUUAUUAUUAUUAUUAUUAUGUCUUGUGUGUCUCUACUUUUUUUUUGUGCAAGAAAGCAGAAAACAAGUAUGGGGGAGAUCCCUCGACAUGCCAAACACACUCCAACUACACCACUCCACGAUUCAGGUACACACUCUGCACACUUUAUGUUACACAUAUAUUUAUUUUGGAUUAUGCAGAUUACUGUUUCCGACAUGAUAAGAUAAAAAGAUUAAAAUAUUUCUAAUCAUGAUUAAUCUCAAUCUGUGAUAUUUCCGGAAAAAUUGCAAUUAUUAUAAAAUCAUUUUAAAACCCUGUGUUACUUAAGUCAAUAUGGAAUAUGUGAUGGUAGAGUAUGAGUUUCUUAUUCUUGAUAUCAUUGUUGCUUGGAGAAUUUAUUUCAAAAUAUUCAAAAUUCUAGCUACCAUCCUCAGUGUUUUAUAUGCCUGAUAAAACUGAAAAUAUUAAUUAUGAUUAUAAAAGCUAUCUGCUCUGUAUUGAGUUUGUUCAAAAUGAGUUAGACCCUUGUUGAGAGAUUUAUCAUGCUCCCAAGAUCAAGACAUUAUUUCAGUAAGAUUCACUCUUCCGAAGUAUUAUUGCAUUAGAGGCACGGGCUAUGCAAAAAUAGAGAUAUUUCGAGGAAAUAAAAAGGAGCAAGUGGUCGACAACCUCGCAGAAAAAAUGGACAAGUGUCCGGCAGUAGAAUUAGGGAUACCUCAGUAUCAACUUAAAAAAAAGAGAAAAGAGAAAAAAAUGAUAGCCCAUGGUCCCUCUAAUAAGCAAUAUGCCAGCAAGAGUUGACAAAGUUUUUAAUUUCCAAAGUCUUUGAUCUAAGAGUAUGACAUUCCCCUCCUCGGAUCCCGUUUUGAUCAGGCAAUAAAUGCAAAGUAAGAAUGCUUGAGAAUUUUUGCAAAAUAAAACAGCCUCAGUGAGAUAUAUAUAUAUAUAUAUAAGAUAAUGAGUGAUUUGAGAGAACCUAUGAGGAUCAAAAGGUAUGCUAACUUUCUUUCAAAAAUAUACAAAAACUCCAAGUGAUAGGAUUGAGAAGAAAGGAUCUUUACUCUUAACCAUAUACUUCCCUGACUAUGGUACACAGUGGAAUUUUAACACCCUGCAAUUAUAUAAAGAAUGUUUUUAAAAUGUUUACCCCAGAUAUUUUUCUUAACCAUCCUUUUCUCGAGGACGAGUAAAAGCCUAAGUAUGGAGGUAUUUGUUGACGGUUCUUAAGUAUCAAUUUUAAUUAUCAAAUAAACAAGAGAAAGGACGAAUAUGCAACCAACACCUAGAAUUAGGGUUUGAUCUGACAGAAUUCCACGAGUUUUGUUGUUUAUCUGUUUCUGCAGGGGGUUAUCAGGAAAUAAGGAAGAAAGGCCCACAUGUCGGGAUUACAUAGAGAUAUCAACGCACCGCGCAAUUUUACACCAUCUAGAAGACUCCAGAAGCCACGAGACCGAAGCGGAGGCGAAACGGGACCAGGCCCAGGGCACCCGCCCUGAGGACCUGGGCGCCCGCCCCCGUCUGGAGCCCAAUCAGGACUCUCUUCGCUCGGAAUAUUCCACCGACCUAUUGGAUCAAGAAAAACGUAGUACCACCUCGCCUAUCGACCCAAAAACGCAUAGAAGGGGAGGACUUAUAAGCAAGGCCCCCUGGCCCCUGGAGAAGACAUGAAGAAAUUAUCAUAGAGACUGAGGGGUGCCCUCGAAAGAAAACCUCUUCUCUAAUUAAUAUUUCUUUUUAGGCUUAGCAAUCAAUGUAAGGUAGAAAUAGAUCUUCUAGUUUCUACUAGAUUGAGAGAGAUAGAGUGGAGGUGUAGAGUGGAGGAAGCCCGGCCUGUCGGCGUCUACUCCAAGCUUGUACCUGCGGGAUCAAGUUCUCCUAACCCGAAGCUUGCUCCUAGGAUUCUUCAGUAAUUCAACUUCUAAAUUCUAGUAAGUUCUUGUUUUAUUGUUCUUAUGGUUUAUGAGUUUACUUUAAUCUCUUCGUGUAGAGUUUAGAGUAAUCAUUGUUGGCGUAAACGUGGUGUUUAGGCUGGGGUACUCAUAGAUAUUCCCUGACUAGCUGGACCGUGGUAGUAGUGAGGAACGUGACAAUUCUGAGCUACCUUUGUAGAUCACAUCUCGUUAGCAGGAAGGAUAGGGUUUAUAGGUGCGGGUUGAACAUCCUUUGUGGUGUCUAGAUUCCGUUAGCCUCCCCAUUAGAACAGUAGAUCAUCCUUACCAAGGUUAAAAGGAGACUACGGUUGCAGUCUUCUCUAUUUAUCACUCACAUCGAAAGACAUUCUUUGUGCCUAAAGGUUAGUAGUAAUAGACCGGUUAGUCAGAUGCACUCUUUCACCUAGUGGUAAAAAAAUAAAUACAAUACUCUAGAUAAUUUCCCGGGUGAAGUGCUCACUGAUAUCCGUGCGCUUGCGGAUCAAUUCCUUAUUGCGUUCCCAAAUAUCAACAAACAAAUACCCCCAUACUUAGGCUUUUACUCGUCCUCGAGAAAAGGAUGGUUAAGAAAAAUAUCUGGGGUAAACAUUUUAAAGCAUUCUCUAUAUAAUUGUAGGGUGUUAAAAAUGCACUGUGUACCAUAGUCAGGGAAGUUUAUGAUCAAGAGUAAAGAUCCUUUCUUCUCAAUCCUAUCACUUGGAGUUUUUGUAUAUUUUUUUGAAAGAAAGUUAGCAUACCUUUUUGAUCCUCAUAGGUUCUCUCGGAUCAGUCAUUAUCUUUUAUAUAUAUCUCACUGAGGCUGUUUUAUUUUGCAAAAAUUCUCCAGCAUUCUUACUUUGCAUUUAUUGCCUGAUCAAAACGGGAUCCGAGGAGGGGAAUGUCAUACUCUUAGAUCAAAGACUUUGGAAAUUAAAAUCUUUGUCAACUCUUGCUGGCAUAUUGCUUAUUAGAGAGACCAUGGGCUAUCAUUUUAUUUCUCUAUUCUCUCUUCUCUUUUUUUAACUGGAUACCGAGGUACCCCUAAUUCUACUGCUGGACACUUGCCCAUUUUUUUUCUGCGAGGUUGUCCAGCACUUGCUCCUUUUUAUUUCCUCGAAAUAUCUCUAUUUUUGCAUAGCCCAUGCCUCUAAUGCAAUAAUUCUUCGGAAGAGUGAAUCUUACUGAAAUAAUGUCUUGAUCUUGGGAGCAUGAUAAAUCUCUCAACAAGGGUCUAACUCAUUUUGAACAAACUCAAUAUAGAGCAGAUAGCUUUUAUAAUCAUAAUUAAUAUUUUCAGUUUUAUCAGGCAUAUAAAACACUGAGGAUGGUAGCUAGAAAUUUGAAUAUUUUGAAAUAAAUUCUCCAAGCAACAAUGAUAUCAAGAAUAAGAAACUCAUACUCUACCAUCACAUAUUCCAUAUUGACUUAAGUAACACAGGGUUUUAAAAUGAUUUUAUAAUAAUUGCAAGUUUUCAGGAAAUAUCACAGAUCAUGAUUAGAAAUAUUUUAAUCUUUUUAUUUUAUCAUGUCGGAAACAGUAAUCUGCAUAAUCCAAAAUAAAUGUAUGUGUAAAGUGUGCAGAGUGUGUACCUGAAUCGUGGAGUGGUGUAGUUGGAGUGUGUUUGGCAUGUCGAGGGAUCUCCCCCAUACUUGUUUUCUGCUUUCUUGCACAAAAAUAAAGUACAGACACACAAGACAUAAUAAUAAUAAUAAUAAUAAUAAUAAUAAUAAUAAUAAUAAUAAUAAUAAUAAUAAUAAUAAUAAUAAUAAUAAUAAUAAUAAUAAUAAUAAUAAUAAUAAUACUCUUUAUUGAUCUUGAGGCAUUUAUUACAAAAGACUGAUAGCAAACUGAUAGCAAACUGAUAAUAGCAAACUUAAACCGAAUUUAAAGAUAGAUGACUAAGAUGCAUUGCCUCAAGGUCUAAUCUAGAUAACUUAGCGGCGCUCUAAUUCCUUGAUCUUCUUGUUGGCACUGGCAAGAUCCUGCCUAAGGCCUAGUAUAAUGGUGUUGUGGUUAGAGAGCUUCCUAGUGAGGGAAUUAAUCGAGGACUCGAGGUCUAUGAUAACUCUAUCUAGCCUGCAAACUUUCUCAUCAAUAUCCAUUAUAGUCUUGCGACUCUUGGGAGGUGUCUCAAAAGCAUUGAGAGAGUGCUUCGGGGCUGCCUUUGGAGGGAUGAAACGGACUUUGGAUGCUCUAAUCCCUUCAAAGUAAGGCCUUUCCUCCGCUGUAGUGUAGCGAAUACUGCUGAUCUCGCCGCUCCGGUUGGUCUUGACUCCAACGACCCUCUCAUUGGGUCUAGGUGGAAGGAUCCUUAUGCCGAUUGGCACCUUGAUAGUGGUCUUCGUCUUGGAUGAUGAUCCUUUGAGGAGUAGGGGUUGUGGUGGUGCGGUGAGAACUGGUUGAGGAUGGUAAGAUUGGGCAGAGCUGCGUUGGUGUAAUGGCAUGGCUCCUAGCUGACGCUCUGUGUUGGCCCGGACGAGAGCAUGGGCAUCGGGGUCCUCCACAGGCUCCAUGUUGAGGUUGAAGGGGACGACUUCCCAAUCAUCGUGGUACUUCUCGGCCAUUGGAACAGCAAGGAACUAAUCCAACUUUAAUUGAAGGAGAGCUAAUCAAGCUCUAAUUGAAGGAGAGCUAAUCAAGCUCUAAUUGAAGGAGAGAAAGCUUGGUGGCUUGGUGUUUGAAAACUGAGGUCAGGGGUCUGUUUAUAUAGGGGUCAAAAGGGUGCCUCUAUGGGUUGUUCGGGUUGCUCCCGUCGACGUGCGUGCAAAACUUUCCAUCCGAGGGAUUAUUAGGAUCACCCUAAGUGCAUUUUCCAUAACAGAGAAAGUCGGGACCGAGGGGGAACAGGGGCUGGGCGCCCGCCCACUUGAUCUGGGCGCCCGCCCUCUCUCUGGCCCCUCUGUGGGCUCACUUCUCCAAGCGCAUUUCUAGAUGCGGAAUUAUUUAGAAAAAUAUAUAUAUGACCCAAAAUCAUCAGACCAAAAGUGUCGGGCUCUAAUUCUCCAUGGGAAGGUAAAAAUGGACUACGUCUAUUUCUUCAAAUUCCUCAUUGGGCUCUAAAAAUAAUUUAAGACGUUGACCAUUUACCUUGAAUAACGUACCUUCGCUAUUUUAAAGUGUGAUAGCUCCGUGGGAUGAUGAAUUGAUUACCUUGAAUGGUCCUUCCCAUUUGCUCCGGAGUUUUCCAUGCCCGAAAAGCUUCACCCUGAAAUUAAAAAGUAAUACCAUAUCUCCGGGUGUGAACUCCUUCAUCUUGAUUCUCUUGUCAUGCCACCUCUUGACUCUUUCUUUGUAGAUCUUUGAAUUGUGAUAUGCCUUCUCUCGCCAUUCUUCCAAUUCUGAUAGUUGCAUUCUUCUAUAAUCUCCAGCAACAUCUAGGUCCAUAUUCCAUCUCUUUAUGGCCCAGUGUGCUUUGAACUCUAGUUCAACAGGUAGAUGGCAAGUUUUCCCGUACACCAAUUGGUAUGGAGACAUUCCAAUUGGGGUCUUGUAUGUUGUCUGGUAUGCCCAGAGUGCAUCGGGUAACUUGUCUUUCCAUGCCGUUCCCAUUUCAUUUACUGUCUUCUGAAGAAUAUUCUUGAUUUGUUUGUUGGAAGUCUCUGCUUGGCCACUUGUCUGAGGAUGAUAGGGGGUAGCGACGUUGUGACGGAUUCCAUGUCUUGAUAGAUAUUGCUUGAAGCGUUUGUCGAUGAAGUGUGCUCCUCCAUCACUUAUCACUACUCUGGGGACUCCAAAUCAUGGAAAUAUAAUUUCUUCAAACAUCCUCUUUGAACUGACGUUGUCGGCAUGCUUGCAAGGUAAUGCUUCUACCCACUUGGAGACAUAGUCAACCGCCACCAAGAUGUACUCGCACUUCUUUGAUGGAGGAAAUGGACCCAUGUAGCUAUUCCCCAGACAUCAAAGAGCUCAAUCUGAAGGUUGUUGGUGAGUGGCAUUGCAUCCCUUGUAUUUAUGUUUCCGUGACUUUGACAUGGCCCACAUCUUCUGAUAUAUUGCCUUGUGUCUUCAUACAUUGUAGGCCAAUACAAUCCACACUGCCAGAUCUUUGAAUGUGUACGGAAUGCUCCAUAGUGACCUCCAUAUGGUGACGAAUGACAUCUGUCGAUGAUCUUCCAUCCUUCCUCAGCGGUCACACAUCUCCUGAGUAAGCCAUCAGAGCAUACUCGGAAGAGGUAUGGCUCAUCCCAUAUAUGUGAACGACUUUCUUGAAUAAGCUUCUUCUUGUUUGCUCCUGGUGGUACAUACCCUGAAACCAUAAAAUUAACAAUAUCUACAUACCAGGGGUCAGACCUGUUAAUCCCGUAGAGCAUGUCGUCCCGGAGUGAAUCAUUGAUGGGGGUUUCUUGUGGACUCUUAAAAUACAUUCUAGACAAGUGAUCAGCAACAGAAUUUUCUACUCCCUUUUUAUCUUUUAUUUCUAAGUCAAAUUCUUGGAGUAAUAAGAUCCAUCUAAUCAGGCGAGGUUUAGCAUCUUUUUUAGUGAGCAAAUAUUUUAAUGCAGCAUGAUCAGUGUAAACAAUUAUUUUAGCUCCAACUAAAUAAGAUCUAAAUUUAUCAAUGGCAAAGACAACAGCCAGAAGCUCUUUUUUCAGUGGUUGCAUAGUUAAGUUGAGCUCCUGUCAAAGUUUUACUGGCAUAAGCAAUUGCAUGAUGCUUCUUAUCUUUAGUUUGUCCCAAUACUGCCCCCACAGAAUAAUCACUAGCAUCACACAUAAUUUCAAAAGGCAACGACCAAUCAGGGGGUUGAAUGAUUGGUGCAGAGAUGAGUGCUUUCUUUAAUAAAUUGAAAGAUGUUAGACAUGCAUCAUCAAAUUCGAAAGGAGCAUCCUUGGCUAGCAAAAGAGUAAGUGGUCUAGCAAUAAAUGAAUAAUCUUUUAUGAAUCUACGAUAAAAACCAGCAUAGCCAAGAAAGCUUCGAAUUCCUUUUAUAUUCAUAGGUGGAGGUAGUUGUUCAAUUACUUCAAUUUUAGCUUUGUCUACCUCAAUCCCUCUUUCAGACACUAAGUGUCCUAGCACUAUUCCUUCCCUAACCAUAAAAUGACAUUUUCCCAAUUAAGGAUUAAGUGCUUUUCUUCACAUCUUUGCAAAACCUUGUCUAAGUUUUCAAGACAACUAUCAAAAGUUUUUCCAUAAACAGAGAAAUCGUCCAUGAAAACUUCCAUAAUCUCUUCAAUCAUAUCAGAAAAUAUAGACAUCAUGCAUCUUUGAAAAGAAGCUGGUGCAUUACAUAACCCAAAAGACAUUCCACGGUAAGCAUAAGUUCCAUAAGGGCAUGUAAAAGUGGUUUUGCUUUGAUCAUCAGGAUGGAUCGGGAUUUGAUGAUACCCUGAAUAUCCAUCUAAGAAACAGAAGAAUGAAUGGUUUGCUAACCGCUCUAGCAUCUCAUCUACAAAAGGUAAAGGAAAGUGAUCCUUUCUCGUGGCUUUGUUUAGUUUUCUAUAGUCUAUGCACAUCCACCAUCCUGUGACGGUGCGUUGCGGAAUUAGCUCGUUCUUUUCAUUCAUAAUAACUGUCAUGCCUCCCUUUUUGGGCACAACUUGUACUGGGCUCACCCACUCACUGUGCGGCACAGGAUAUAUAAUCCCUGCAUGCAGCAACUUUAUAACUUCCUUUUUAACUACCUCUCUCAUAGUGUUGUUAAGUCUACGUUGGGGUUCUCGAGAGGGUGUAACAGAAGGAUCUGUUGGAAUACGAUGGAUACAAAUCAUAGGACUGAUUCCUGUAAGAUCUUGAAGUGAGUAGCCGAAAACUGAGUGAUGUUUCUCAAGAAUGGUCAUUAAUCGCAGAGUUUGAUCCUGAGUGAGUUUAUCGCUAAUGAUCACAGGGAACUCUGGAUUAUUGUUUAGGAAAGCAUAGGUAAGACCGGGUGGUAAAGUUUUAAACUCUAUGGGAGGUCUAGGUGUUUCUGCAAACUCAUCUAAGGGUUCAGGCUCGGAAGGUUCGUCUUCUUCUUCUGUGAAGAAAGGAGUUUCAUCUUCUAAGUCUGGUUCAUCUAAAAGCUCUAGAGAUGCAGCCUUUACUUCCUCCAUAGGGUCAGGCAAAAGAUAUGACUCGGCCUUAUUAUUUAAGGAGUGUGAAAUUAUUAUUGGGAAUUUAAAAGUUUUUCCAAAAGAAAUGUGUAGCUUUCCAGUAUGACCUUCAUAAAGGAGUCUUCUAAAAGGUUGUCCUAUCAACAGGUCGAAGUCCCAUGUAUCAAAGAUAUAGAAGUUCAAAUGAACCAUGGAGCCUUCUACAGUAAGAGGUAAGACUGUGGACUAAUCGUCCUGAAGAUUCCUUUAUGACCUUUGUUGUGGGGAUUAAGACAAGAUUUUUAAAUAGUUUAAGUGCAAAGGAUUUAGACAUAAUGUUGAUCCCCACAACAGGAUUAUAGAGAGCAUUAAAUCGAUCAGAAUUAUAAGCACAGCGUAUAGUUAUAGAGGGUGUGUCCAAACGGAUCACAUCAGAGGAAAGCUCUGAUUCCUCCAACCAUUCGCUACUCAUUACUGAGAUAAGCUCUCUCAAUUGAUAUUCACUUGGCAAAUAAAUGCUAAACUGGCCGUUUUGGGGUUUGUCAAUAGAAUGGUAGUUUGAAAUAUUUCCAAAAUUGGCAAAAAAUCGGAUUCUAUAUCCAGCAUGAAGUCCGGUGGUGGAAUUUCUUCCUCUUGUGGCUCAGAACCUGGGAUAGCUAAAGUAGAUGAAGAAUUUCGCAGAGUGUCUACUUCGGCUUCGUAGGUUUCAUCAUGAAGGGUAUUAUCCAUCUCAGCUUCUAGGAUGCUAUCUAGGAUCACUCUAGCUUCAUCAGUAGGGAUGCGAAAGAAAGAACCUCUAGACAUUGUAUGUAGCAUUUGUUUGUGAUCUUUCUGAAGACCUCGAAAAAAGUGAAAUAAAAGAACAGGGUCUUCAAGAUUAAGGUUUGGACCAGAUUCUAAAAGAUCAGAAAAACGUUUCCAGGAUUUUCCCAAAGUUUCAUUAUAUUUUUGUUUAAAAGAUAGGACUUCGAGUCUAAGGUCGGCUAUACGGUCAAGGGAAUAGAAAUCUAGACAAAAGUUGGCUCGUAAAACUCCCCAUUCACCUUGUUGUUGACUUACCUUCUGACUGUACCAUUGUCUAGCUUCUCCUCUUAGAGAAAAAGGAAAAAGCUUCCAACGUAAAGUCUUAUCAGAAAUGCCUUCAAUGCGAAGACAAUCACAUGUUUGCUCAAAAUCUCUAAUAUGAAGGUAAGGGUUUUCGUCUUCCUUUCCCGAAAAAGAUAGGUUUUGAAUCAUGGCAAUCAACCUAGAACUUAACUUAUACUGGGAUGUUUGGAUAGGCUGUGAUGAUUCCCAUGGUAAAAGGUCAGUUGCUAAAGGGAUUGCAGACUCAUGGAUCGAUUUAGAAUUUUGGUUUUCCAUAAGGUAAGAAUAAAGAAAAUAAAUAAAGAAUAUAAAAGAUAAGAAAAGAUAAAAGUAUAGAUACAAGCUAAUAGUAAGACUCAGGUUAUCUUAGCAACCGUCUUUCUCCCCGGCAACGGCGCCAGAAAUGCUUGUUGAUAUUUGGGAACGCAAUAAGGAAUUGAUCCGCAAGCGCACGGAUAUCGGUGAGCACUUCACCCGGGAAAUUAUCCAGAGUAUCGUAUUUAUUUUUUUACCACUAGGAGAAAGAGUGCAUCUGACUAACCGGUCUAUUACUACUAACCUUUAGGCACAAAGAAUGUCUUUCGAUGUGAGUGAUAAAUAGAGAAGACUGCAACCGUAGUCUUCUUCUAACCUUGGUAAGGAUGAUCUACUGUUCUAAUGGGGAGGCUAACGGAAACUGGACACCACAAAGGAUGUUCAACCCGCACCUAUAAACCCUAUCCUUCCUGCUAACAAGAUGUGAUCUACAAAGGUAACUCGGAAUUGUCACGUUCCUCACUACUACCACGGUCCAGCUAGUCAGGGAAUAUCUAUGAGUACCCCAGCCUAAACACCACGUUUACGCCAGCAAUGAUUACUCUAAACUCUACGCGAAGAGAUUAAAGUAAACUCAUAAACCAUAAGAACAAUAAAACAAGAACUUACUAGAAUUUAGAAGUCGAAAUACUGAAGAAUCCUAGGAGCAAGCUUCGGGUUAGGAGAACUUGAUCCCGCAGGUACAAGCUUGGAGUAGACACCGACAGGCCGGGCUUCCUCCAAUCUACACCUCCACUCUAUCUCUCUCAAUCUAGUAGAAACUAGAAGAUCUAUUUCUACCUUACAUUGGUUGCUAAGCCUAAAAAGAAAUAUUAAUUAGAGAAGAGGUUUUCCUUCGAGGGCACCCCUCAGUCUCUAUGAUAAUUUCUUCAUGUCUUCUCCAGGGGCCAGGGGGUCUCCUUAUAUAGUCCUCCCCUUCUAUGCGUUUUUGGGUCGAUAGGCGAGGUGGUACUAUGUUUUUCUUGAUCCAAUAGGUCGGUGGAAUAUCCGAGCGAAGAGAGUCCUGAAUCGAAUCCAGCAGGGGGCGGGCGCCCAGGUCACCAGGGCGGGAGCGCUGGGCCUGGCCCCUUUCGGCCUUCGUCUUCUUCCCGUAGCUUCUGGAGUCUUCUAGAUGGUGUAAAAUCGCGCGGUGCGUUGAUAUCUCUAUGUAAUCCCGACAUGUGGGCCUUUCUUCCUUAUUUCCUGAUAACCCCCUGCAGAAACAGAUAAACAACAAAACUCGUGGAAUUCUGUCAGAUCAAACCCUAAUUCUAGGUGUGGGUUGCAUAUUGGUCCUUUCUCUUGUUUAAUUGAUAAUUAAAAUUGAUACUUAAGAACCGUCAACAGCCGGUACGUUGCCUUUAUCUUGACCCAUGAUAGAAUGUCUGUAUGAGUAGCUAAUUGUUCAUCCCAUGAUGAGGACACUCAAGUAUGUAGUCUUGAAAGUGCUCCAUAGAUUCUAGAAUUGUCUCAUCACAUUGUUGCUGAAAACUCAAUAUCUUUCCAUGUAGAGCAUUGGUCUUGCCUUUGGGAAAGAACUUCACCAAGAAAUUGGUGGAACAUAGUGCCCACAUUGUAUUCUUCUCUUUGUUAGCAUAGAACCAUUGCUUCGCUUUCCCCAAGAGUGAGAAUGGGAAAAGGCAAAGUAAUAUAGCAUCUCUAGGGACAUCCUUGAUAGUGAAAGUGCUACAAAUCUCCAGGAAGUGCUGGAGAUGAGCACUAGCAUCUUCAUGGCCCUUCCCGCAGAACUGGCUUGCUUGUACCAUAUUAAUCAGCGCUGGCUUGAGGUCGAAUGAUCCAUUAAUGUCCACAGCUAGUCCAGUACAGAUGUUGGCCGUAGUGGGAGCUGAGAACUCAUGAAGUGACUUGUCAGCCAUGACGUCAAUCUCUGGUGUCAAUCUUUGAGUAGGUUGAUCUUCUGACUCAGGAGGAUUGGCAAGCUGAUAUGUUGAUGAUGUUGAUUGGUUCCUUCUUAACCUAACCUUUGUCUUCCUAAUCAAUGUCGCCAGAUUAUCAACCAAGUUAUCUGGGAGAUUAAACCUAUUCAUACAUUACCCUGUAUAUGAUAAAAAUAGACAAAAAGACAAGGGUAAACCUGCAUGAGUGAGAAGGAUGGAUGGUGGUCAAUCCAUGAGUGGAUGUAGUGAUCCUCAUUAUCCUUUAUUGCUUUCACCUUCGCGGCAAUGGCGCCAAAAAUGCUUGUUGACACUUCUUAACGCAACUACCAAAAAUAGACUCUAAACCUAUCCUUAGCAGCGGUGUCAUAAUUACUUAACAUCACUUAAGCAAGGUUGUCAUCCCUAACAUGAUGUAGAAAUGCUGGUAUUAAAUCUAUAUGCUUUUCUAGGAAUAAAUAAAUAAAUAAAUAAAUAUAGGAUCCACAAGCGCACAGAUAAUACUGAUGUAGCAUUUUAACCAGGAGUAUUCCAGGUAUCGUUAUUUAUAUUUUUACCAUUGGGAAGGGACUUGCAAUGGAUAAUGAGCAAUGAGCACUGCAUGUAAUCAUGGAGACCUUAACCAUGUCUUUAUCUAUCUCUCAUGCAGGGUAAGUGUCACAUAAGAUAAAUAUAUUAAUAUGAAUAAUAAGUGACACAUGAUAAAUAAGAAUUCAUAGCCAUAAGAUAAACAUGAUAAUUAUCUCAAUUAGAUUACUCUAAGUCUAUAGCACUAGCAUCGUAUUAGGAAAAUCUACAAGAAUAAAUCCUAAGUAUUCUAACUAUACUGUCAAAGCAUACAAUGAUUAGUGCAAGUACACCUAGCAUCAUCACUACAAAUAGUUAUAUCUAUGCAUUGUGAUAUUAGCAAGAAAGAUCAUGAAAUAGCAAUCCUUUCCUGUAAUAAUGGUGCUAUACAAUCCUUAUAAUCGAGAGAAGGACUCAACAGGACAGUCACUCCCGCGAUCUACCUCAAGCUCCAAACUAUAAGGGGUAAUCAUAGAUAAAAACGGUCUAGGCACCUCGCCUACACAAUAUCUAUCACUCACCCAUCAGCCUAAUAAGUAAGUGCUAUACAAUCCUAUGCAUAAACAUAAUUCUAAACUAACUACACUAAGCAUAUAAUCAAAGUAAACUAAGAACAAUAUAAUUGAGAACAUAAGCAAAUAGAAUAAAGUCAAUUCCGAUGUAAUCAAAUAGAUCAAAGUCAUAUUCAUAGUAGCAAGGACUAAUAUAAAUAUACAAAGACAAUAAGAGUUUACCAAGAACUAAAGAUUGAUCUGGACUCCAAGAUUAACUCGUCUCCUUCUAGAUCUAUUCUAUGUAGCUAUGCUAAAGAACUAUAGAGAUCUAAUUGAGAUGGUGGCUAAGAACUCUAUAGAGACAGAUCCAUUCAAGGGACCCCUCUCUGUCUAAUUCUUCUUCUCUUGAUCUUCUCAGAUAAUAAUGAACUCCUCUCCAGGUGGGUUAGGGUCUUUAUUUAUAGCCCCCUAGAAAGCACCACCACCCUUGGAUCAAACCGACUUAAACGUGCACUUAAGAUUAAUCCUCAAAGUCGGUGGAGGCAGGAUCCACGAGGUUCACUCUGAUUGGUUGAACCCCCCGGGCAGCCACCCCUGACAGGGUGGGGCGCCCACCCCUGCCCUAUGGCAGGUGGGCCCCACCUUUUAGGUGGUGUCUUUCCAAACCUUAUGGAGUAUUCCCGAGUUGAUGUCUCACAUAUUCUCUCUAUGUAAAUCUGGCACGUGGACCUCCUUUUGUUCUUAUUCUGAUAACCCCCUACAGAAAUACACAAUCACCAAAACUUGUGGAAUUCUGUUAGUGAUAACCCCAAUAGAUAGAUAGUAUUCUGAUUUAAGUCCUUUCUUAUGCUAUGUUGAUGGUUAAAAAGAGUACUUAUCUACCGUCAACAUGCUCGCCGAGGAGGAAUGAACCAGCACAACAUUGCCCAUCCCAUAGGGAAGUGGGGACGGCCUGGCCGCUUGCCUUCUCGAUGCUAGAGUUGGCCCCGGAUGAGAUGGCGGUGCCCCGAGGUGUGACAUUGGAGCAGUGUCACUUACCAGCCUACAUUCCUCCCAAGGCUAGGCAUAAACCAGACAUACCCCUCUUGAGAGAGAAUGUACUAGUCACCGGUCAGGAAGUGCUAGAGGACUGUGGGGGGUUGUCUCUAACUCCAGCGAUGGAGCGAGGACCUCCCUGUCUCUGUCACGCUCGCCGACCACGGUGAGAGUGAUGGCCUUAGUGCCUUCCUUGUUUUGGUUGAGGCAUGGAGGGCUCAUCAUGGGAUAGACCUCUAGGAGGGAGGAGGACCAUGUCAUAGUCAUAGCCUAAUGACAUGAACUCUAGCCUCCCAAACUAGAUAACCGUGCUGAGACGAAGUGGGUGAUGGUCGUCGGCCAUCCGGAGCUUGCUAAAGGAAAGAAUGUCAUAGGCAGAAAGCCCCUACCUGGCACGCAAAUUGUUGGUAUUUGGACUCAGAGUCCUAGCAUCAGCUAGUAAAUUUGUAUCUACGUGCCUUCGAUGUGGAUGGUGUGCAAGAAGAACAUAAGCGAUUUAUACAGGUUGAGGCAAGGAGUGCCCUACGUCCAGUGGAAGGGAGGAGUCUUGUAUUAUCUUGCACUAAAGUGCUUGUAGUAGGGAUUACAAACAGGGUGAGAUAGGGAGUGGUUCCCAAGUCCGGGAGUAAAGUGUUGUGCAUGAACUUGAGUGUGUUCGAGUGCCAGUGAACUUGUCUACUUCUUAUGUCAUGUUCCUAGAACAGGCCCCUGCCCCCUCCUUUUAUAGUUGCAAGGAGAUGCAGGGUUUACAUAUAUGUGUACUAUACUAUUCCUAUUAGAUGCGAGGCCAUGUGGAGGCAAGGCAUAGUACUCUGGAGGGAUGGCAUAGUACUAUGGAUGGAUGGCCCCUGUGCUUUAGCCGUUGUGGUCACUCGUAGUAGAAAUGUGCGGCAUGCCCAUUCAUGUAGACGUCAUGUUGAGCCACGCCUAUCCUUUGAACGGGAUAUCCGACCCUGUAGAUGACGUGCCAAUCCCUUGCCCAUUGACUGAUGGAGAGACCUGAGACCCUCUGGAUUGGGAGCAGUGCCCUGAACUAUGACGAGCUCGUGAGCACAGGGGCAUGGAUUGACACCCAUAUGUCUACACAGGUCUCUGCUAUACGCACAAUGACGGGAGUUGACAGCACUAUGAGCAUCAUGCCUUGCCCUGCGCAGUUCUGGGUGUAGUGGAGAUUGGACCCCCAUCUUCUCUAGCUACAGCGCGGGCCCAUUGUGGGGUUGUGGCUGACAUCAUGGGAGGUCUCUGUUGACACUUGCUAACACCACUUGAAUACUAGGUUGUCAUCCCUAGCAUGGCACUAGAGUGUACUAUGGUAUUUAUACGCACACAGAUAAACCCGGAAGCACACAGAUACCGUUGUAGCUUUUACCCGAUAAGAGGUUUUAUCGUAUCCACAGGGAAACGGGAGAACCAACUACGCUCUAACUUAACCAAGAUAGAUAGAUAAGUGUAAAUAGGAAAGAUGGUAGAAUUGAAUAAGAAUAAUAUUGAAGGUAAGAUAACAAUGGGUGAUAAUAUGGGAAUAGAGAGUAGAGCAAUCUAGUAUAUGGGCGAUGGUAGCAUAAUAGAGAGGAUAACUAUGGUUUCUGUACUUCAAAGGGGUACGUCUAUGUCUGGGAUGAACCACGUGAUAAGAAUACACCACAAAGGAUGCUUAUCCAUAGGCCGAUAAACCCUACCCGUCCUGCUAACAGGAGGUGGACUACAGGGGACCAACAUAACUGUCACGUACGCAGCCUACCACACGAUCCGGCUAGACAGGGGAUAUCCACAAGUAAUCUAGGUCUAAGCACCACGCUUACACCUAUACUACAACUCUCACCUAUAGCGUCCUAUAGAUUAAAGUACUCAAAAGAGUUGUGAACCAGAACAUACAUGAUUAGUAAUUGCAUAAUAAAUUAGAAGUAGAAUACCAGAGUCAUCCCAUGAGCAACCUUGAUUAGAGCUUGAUCAUGGCAAAGUACAACCGGAGGAAGAACCGACAGGCCGGCCUCUCCUCCAAUCCUCCCUCGCUCUCCAUCUUGCUACUAUCUAGAUCUACUCUAGUUUAGAGAAGAGAGGAGAGCUCUCAUCUCCAAACCCUAGCUUUUGCUUUGUCUAUGAAUAAGAAUAGGGAUCAAGGGGUUGUCUCCUCUAGGGGCCACAGGGCCUGCUUAUAUAGUCCCGUCAAGUGAAUCUGGGCUGUCGGAUCAAACCGACAUUAAUCGCACGGUUUUCCUUGAUCCUUUAGGUCGGUGGAGCAUGAUCCGUGAAGUAGAACGUGAUUGGCCGAAACACCAGGGCGGGCGCCUAAGGGGGGAGGGCGGGCGCCCUGUCCCCGAGCCCGUUAGGCUUCCCGUUCGUUCCUGUGGCUUCUGGAGUCUUCUAGAUGAUAGAAAAUUGUGCGGCACGUUAAUAUCUCUAUGUAAACCCGACAUGUGGGCCUUUCCUCCAUAUUUCCUGAUAACCCCCUGCAGAAAUAGACAAACACCAAAACUCGUGGAAUUCUGUCAGAUAAAACCCUAAGUCUGGGUGUUGGUUGUAUUUGGAUCCUUUUCUUUAUUUAUUUGAUGAUUAUAUUUGGUACUUAAAGACCGUCAACAACUCCCCCAAGCUUACCUCUUGCUCGUCCCUGAGCAAGGAUGGACUUAAGAGUUUCUGCAGUGGUUUUAUGCCUUAAAGGUACACAUGCGUUCAAACAAGAUCUCAUCUCUGGGUUAGGGUAAACUGUUAAGAUUUAAACUUACUCAUUUUUCCUUCCACCAUGGGGCUUGCAACCGUCACUUGUGUCUUAAGCAGUUAACAGAUAGAACGGUCAAGUCAAGCGCCAUGUCUCCUGUUCUUUGAUCAACUAUAGCUCUGGAGUUUUUGUAGAUUUUCAAAAUAAAACUCAGAGAUUCCUUGUAUGACUCUCUCAAUUCUCUCUUUUGUGGUAUUUCUGGAUCCUUACUAAGGCAGUUAUGGUAUAUGCCUUCUCUCCAAGUAUGUGGUAUUUUUGGUAUGAGGCAUAGUGAUAUUGCUUUCUCUCUCACCCUACUCUAAUAAGGUUUUGAUAUUUGGAGCUCAUAGGUGGGAGACAGCUAAUACAUACUUACAAGACAUUUAUUGCAUAGUCAAACCAUGGAUCCAGAGAAACAAGUCAAUAAGUCAAAUCAAGAUGUGCAUGUGUGGCGAAUGAAUGGUGUAUGGUGAUGAUGGUGAUAAUGGUGAAAACAAUGGUGAAAGUCUAAUUCUAAUUUUACUCUUUUGAGGGGAUACAUACCUUUCUUGCACUUUGAAGCUUUUUUAGGGGAAUGAGAUGCUCUAUAUUUUCUUUUUUUCUUUUCUCUCAGGUGAGUAUCUUGUACCCCUAAUUCUACUGUCAGACACUUGUCCCUUUUUACCUCUUGUCUCACUUUUUCUUUUCUUCGAGGUUUCGGGCACUUGCCCCUUUUUAUUUCCUCGUAUUCACUUUUUUUAGAGCACUCACCCUCCUGGAAUAAUAUAGCAAGUGGUAGUAACCAAAAUAUCUCGAGCAUUUAUUUCACGGGGAAUAACAGGCAUAGGAUAAUGUUUUUGGCUAUUCUCUCCUGGAUAGGAGUAGAAUAAUUUUGUGUAAAUCUGGAGAUGAAAAUGAGUGGAUGUAUGUGGAUGCGUACUUCCGGAGUAGAAGCAGCAUGUAUGAGUGAACGUGCAAGUGGAUCUUGAUUUUAACCGCAUGAAAACCUCCUAAGGGUCUACACAGCUUGACCACACUCAAUGCUCAUAAGCAGUAAAAAGUACAUAUAUGGUUCAUAGUCUAAUAAGCAUGUAUAUAUGGCUGUGGUAAGAUUUUAAACUCUCGUCAUACAGGAACUCAUCAUGCAACAUUUUAAAGAUUUUCAAAGAUAAAAUUCUCAAGAAUUCUAGCAUCUCUAGGAACAGAUAAACAGCAGCUCAACCUUCCCAUAUCAUAUCCGUUAACGAAUUAGACUUUAGAUCAAAUACUCUUCCCAUAAUUUUAGGUUUGAGCAAAUCUUAAUUCAUAACGGUCAUGUCUAAACUUGAGAGAGAGCUCAAAUUUGAAAACUAGGUAAUUGGCAGAGCAACUAUUCAUCAUAUCCAUGUGAGAGCUUAUCAUGAGGGAUCAUCGCAAACUUUAUUUAUUUAGCAAACU